rnacentral:lncRNA from 1 species
AAUCUUGAGCUAGAUAUUUGUUGAGUUCAAUCACAUAGCCACGUAAACGCUUAACAUAGUCCAUCAUAGGCGCAUCUGGUGGAGCCGCUACUGAUCCACACCAUAAGGUGUUAUCGUACCCGAUUAAUCCCCCAAUUUUCACAAGAUCAAGUACUCUCUUGUGAUAGUUUAAGUAAUUAUCCUUAUCAGCAUCCACAAAAACAAAAUCAAAUGCUCCCUUGUUAUUUUCCUGCAAAAUUAAUUAAUCAAUAUGAUUUUUUAUUAUACCCCAAGUUUGUGAAACGUGCAAGGAUGAAGUCAAGUUGGAUGUAUAAAACUACAACAAAACAAAUAAAGUUGUUGAAAAAAUUAUGCAAACGCACGUCUUGAAGAAGUUCAUCUAGAACAGGUAGAGCAGGUCCUUCUCUAAAGUCAAUCUUAUUAGCAACUCCAGAUUUUUCAAUUAUGGGUAAUCCCAGCUUAUAGUAUUCACUAUUCACGUCCAAAGCCAAUACCUAAUAAAAUUAAUUAAUCAUAAUUUAAACAUUAUUUCCUGAAUGAUGAAUUUUAGAAGAAUAUAUUAAUUUAAUUUUAGAAGAAUUUUUACCUUUCCAUCAGAGGGAAGAGCAAGAGCAGUGGAGAGAAGAGAAUAACCAGUGAACACACCAAUUUCUAUUGUGUUUUUUGCAUUGAUAAGCUUAAUCAGCAUGCUUAAAAGCUGUCCUUCAUCAGCAGGUGUAGCCAUAAGGUUCCUGUUUAUUAAUAAUGUUAAUUAUAGUUAGAUGCAGAAUAUGAAACUAUAAAUAUUUCAAUAAUUUCAUUUUUUAUUACAUACUGGUAGUACUAGUUUAUAUUUUUCAAAAAUUGUUUUUUUUCUUUUAUAUUUUUGAGAGACAAACAAGUAUGUUCUUACCAAGGAUGUUUUUCUGUCAUCUCACGAAGCUCCUUCAAACAUGGGUGCUCUCUAGGAAACACACUUGUUUCAAGUAUAUACUGAACAACAACAACAAACAAGAACAUCAAUUAUAUUACAAUUAAUUCAGUUGACAGUUGUACAGAUAUAUCAUAUUUAGAAGAGUGGAUAUACCUGAUAAAGUGCAUCACUUUGAAGGAGACUCUUGUGAGCAAGUUCAUUGUGUCCAAUGGGUUUGAUUUCUUGUUUCUCUUCAUUGUUGAUAGCCAUAUCUUGAUUGUAUGUAUCUUAAUUAAUGCUUUUUUUGGAGUAUACAAGGAAAGCUCUCUCAAUGAUGAAGAAUAAAAGCUCCAAAAUGGGGUCCAAUUUAUAGUCAAGAUGAUUGUGGGGGUAGGUGUGUCUCGUAGACAAUGUCCUUUCAUUUUGAUAUGAUUAGUAAUAUUCUCUAAUUUAAUAUAUUUUAAAAUAAUUUUUAUUACAGCUAGAAGGGUUUGGUAUGAAGUAACAGAUACAUAGAUUCCUUUCCACUAACUCUCCAGUUAUAUUACUAUCUUAGUUAUUUAUGAACAUGUGUUUGGUGAAGUCAACGAUUUCUGGCAAUUAGUUUAACAUUUCCAUAUUUGAACGUCAUCAGAUAAAUCCAUAUCGUGUUCGGUUCCGAUAAAAUUCCCCAUAAGUUAAAGUGUUCAUAGUGUUUUACCCCCUAGCCUCCUUCUUCCUUACCGCAACAUAUCGAUUUCCAGCUAAUCUAACCAAUCUCUUUUUGAUCUUCAGUACCUCCCCACAAGAACUCUCGUUGAAUUUUGAUUUUCUCUUUCACAAUUGAUUUUGGAGCUUUGUAGAAAGAGAAUUGAUAAAUUGAAUAUUUGACAAGACGACAUUAAUCAUUAUAAUUUUAUCUCUUAUUGACAUACAACGAUCCUUCCAUGAGUUUAAUCUUCUAUGCAAGUUCUCCAUAGUGUCUCUACAUGCUUCCUUCCUACCUUCUAGGGUUGACCCCAACAUUUACUCUUUAAAAAAUUGAAGGGAGAGCUUCCUACCGAACAUAAGAUUGUGGAAGCUGCUUUCAUUAAAAUUAAACAUGUCUUCAAAUUUGUGAAGGUUCAAGAAACACAAGAACGGGGAGGUUUGGAUUGAUUUUCAGAUAUGACGGGUUUUUUCAUUAAUUAAUCGCAAACUAAUGACGAGAACAACAAUGAUAAAAAUACACAAGAUUUUUAUAUUGGUCCACUAUUAACUAAGUUAGUUAACUCCACUUGUCUGAGGUGGUUUCGCCUUCUCACAUGACCUUAAUCCACAGAUUACAAACUCAAAGACCAACUGCCAAUGACUUCUCGAGGCUACAGACUAAACUUAGUCCCUCAAAAAAUUUAACCAAAAUAAAAAUACAAAGAUUGUGUGUUUACAAGAAUGUUUCUAAUCAAGCAGAUACAUAAAAUGAGUUUCAUAGAUUACACUUAAGAAAAUAUACAGGUUAACACUCUAAGUGUAGUCAGUGUUGAAAUUAUUCUUAUUCUUCGCGUCUCUAUUUAUUCACAAUUUCUUGUCCUAUUUAAAUAGAUGAUGAAUAGUACCAUUAGAGGAUAGAAUUGGAAACUUUUUCAAUUUUAGAGUUGUAGUAAUGGUACAAGGUUGAGCUGUGAAUUGUGGAGAUCCGUUGAUAGGACAUUUAUUCCAACAUAUAUGUCCUUUUAAGGAAACCUUUGAUUUUUCCGUUUGAAUGUAGGUUUUUCAAGAAUAUUCUUUCAAUCAUUAUUCUCUAAAUCAUUUGGCUUUGUAUUUGAGAUAAUUUGUAGCUUGAUUAGAGUUUAAGCCUUGAGAUUAGACUUCAGAGUCUAGUGAAAAUGAAGCUUGAAUUAUCAAAGUAAAUCUGGAUUGUUUGUUCUAGAAGCGUUGACUUGGUUAUCCAAAUGACUGACUCUCAGUUAAGCACUUCUUCGUAUUUCAACCUUGUUUCAGAAUUUGAUGAAAUUCAGAGUCCAGAGUCUAGAGUCUGCUUUGUCUAGAGUCCAGAGUCUGCUUUAUCUAGAGUACAAAGUCUGCUUUGUCUAGAGUGCAGAGUCUGCCUCAUCCAGAGUCCACUUUAAUCUAGAGCCUAGAAUCUGCUUUGUCCAGAGUCCAAAGUUUACUUUGUCCAAAGUCCAGAGUCUUCUUUCUUUAUCUUUAAAAUUCUGCACACUUAACGAAAUUAUUAGAGUACAAAACUGUUCUCUAUAAUUUGUUAUCAUCAAAACCUAAGGAUUGUAGAUUUAGAAAAAAACUUGUUCCAACAAUAUCCCCCUUUUUGAUGAUGACAAAUACUAGUAUUUUGAUGAACAAUUUUCACUCAAUAAAAAAUCAACUAGAAAUCAGAGUUAGAUUUGUAAGCNNNNNNNNNNNNNNNNNNNNNNNNNCCCACCAUCACAUUACCAAUGCAGUCCCUCAUCCAUGUAUGGGAAAACAAAUACCAAAUCAUUAUCAAAUCCACAACACCAAUGAAAUAAGUAUCAGUUCAGCCACCAUAUGUCCAACGGGACUUAUCUCACAAGUUACCUCAUUAAGUAGACCAUUGAGCAAACAUCUACCGAAAUAUAUUAUCAUGCAGAUUCAAUAGCUACCUGCUCUCCUUCCUUUAUAGUAAAACAACUCAGAAUCCUACUGUUGUUGGAAUAAUAAUCAUCCAAUGCCCACCAUGUCAAAACAGGAAGUCUAAACCUAAGAUUUCCUAGGUCACAUUGAACCAAGCAUAGUUAAGCAAGCAUUGUCUCAAUCUCAUAUGGUUUAAGUGAAUGAUGAUGGAUGUAGAUUCACUAUGAAACAAUGUACUAAGAGCUCCCUUACUCACAUCAAAAAACAAUUGGUGUAAGUGGUUUCAGGUCAAAUAAAACCUAAUGCUAUGUAAAUAAGUAAUUAAAGGAAAAUACUGGUUGCAAAUGUAUAUCAUUACAAUCAUUGGAGUUUGAAUUUCAUGAGACGUUUCACAGUUGUUAAUUCAACAAAAUUACAGGUUAUUUUAACUUUCGCCAUCACUAACAAGUGGAAAUACAACAAAUUGACAUUUUAAUAAAGCGUCCCUCAUGAUUUCAUAACAGGAGAGUAACAUUGCAACACCAUGAUCGAUUAUGUGAAUUAAAUAUGACAUCACCAUUUGCAAGCCAGGAAAGAAAUAGGGACUCAAGUAAGCUCCAGUGCUAUGGUAUGAAAAGCUGCAUCACGACAUUGAUUCACUACGGGUGUCUAGCAAAUUGACAACUCUCUGGUGUUAAAAUCUAUCACAAUGUCUAGUUCUAUAAACAUUUAUAUGUCAUCGUCAGUAUAUUGUGGAGACAUUCUCAUAACUGGAUCUUCUCGAAACUAAUUCAUAAUCAUUACACGCUCCUCCAAGUUCCCUACAAGACUAGAAGUUCUCAAUAUUUUAUGUCAUCAUCAGGACUAAUGAACACUACUUCUUACACAGGCCAAAAUAACUACAAAACUAUACUCUCACAAGAUAAAUAUGACAUAAGUAAGAGGAUAGGCUACUCUAUGUCCAGUGUAUAUAAAUGAGCAAAAUGACACUUAAUUCAUUCCAAAUUCUCUUGUGUAUUGCACCACAAGGAUGUCUUACAUAUUGACACUCACACGACCUGACAUAUGCAUUUCGAGUUAACAAAGCUUGUAAGUUCAUGACAAUGCCUAAUCAAUCACACUGGACUACAGUUAAACCCAUCUCUAUUACUUGAGGGUCAUGGUAACUCAUGACUUGCUACUGCCCCAACCAUGCUUCUUAGAAGUUUCUCCACGUGUGCAUAUUGUGACUCUGAUUGGGCAAGCGAUCUAAUGAUCGUCUCUCUCACCUCAGGUUCAUGUGUUUCUUGGCCAAUCUUAAUGAGUGGAAGUUCAAAGAAACCAUGCUUGUUGCUAGGUCAAAAACAGUAUAGCUGAAACGGGCAAUUGCAGAGCCAAAACAAAAUCAGUUGGCUGAAUCCUCCUAUCCAAGCUACACAUCGAGUCACAUUGUGCUCACUCUACUGUUGAUAACUCACCUAGUGCAAUAUUGCUUUACAUAAUCUAAUACUCGUCAAGAACAAGUGAUAAAACUAAAUAAUCUGGAAUAUUAAAUAGGAGAGAAAGUUGUGGAAAUAAUGUAUAGUAUAUCAACAUGUAUCAGCUCUGCUCAACAAUUGAUGCAUAAUCAAACUACUCCCAGUUGCAUAUUCAUAGAGAUUUCGAGACAAAUCAAAGUGUCUUGCUCAAACCAUUCAUGCAUAUGUAUGAUUAAUAGCAUGCAUGAGUAUGUUAAGUAAUUUACAUGACCGUGUUAGACCAGGUAGUUAAUGAAUAUCUAAUUUACCACUAAGUGCUCAUAUGUUAUAGUAUAUAUAAAAGUGAUCACUAGAAUGCUCUCUCUUUUCUUCAUAAGCAUGUAUCAUUCUAACUUAAGAGAAGUUUUGCUGACUACCAUAUUUUAUUUAGUGUUUGAAUUAAAUAUACACGUGGAUUCAGCAAAAUACUUAAAUUUAAAAAAGUACACAUGCUUUUUCUCAUGAUAAUAAUACACACAUCACACAUCUAAUUGGCUAAUUUGGCCACAUUACACAAAAAAUAGAUUACAAAAGUAACAACAACAUAAAAUAUCAGGCGAAACCUCACAUUUGACACAUCAUCACAACUUUUCACAAUGACAAAGAGUAACAAAGAUCAUAAACAAUAAUAAACAUAAUCAUUGAAAACUCAUAUAAAAUCCAAUUCUCCACACCAAAUAAAUCACCCCAAAGAGAAUAAUCAGCUAAUGCGGCGACAAGGUAUCCCACUCCUACAGGGAGUUGACAAAUCUCGAUCCUUGAAUCUUGAGCUAGAUAUUGUUGAGUUAUCACAUAGCCACGUAAACGCUUAACAUAGUCCAUCAUAGCCGCAUCUGGUGAGCCGCUACUGAUCCAACACCAUAAGGUGUUAUCGUACCGAUUAAUCCCCAAUUUCACAGAUCAAGUACUCUCUUGUGAUAGUUUAGUAAUUAUCUUAUCAGCAUCCACAAAACAAAAUCAAAUGCUCCCUUUUAUUUUCCUGCAAAAUUAAUUAAUCAAUAUGAUUUUUAUAUACCCCAAGUUUGUGAACGUGCAAGGAUGAAGUCAAGUUGGAUGUAUAAAACACAACAAAACAAUAAAGUUGUUGAAAAAUUAUGCAAAGCACGUCUUGAAGAAGUUCAUCUAGAACAGGUAGAGCAGGUCUUCUCUAAAGUCAAUCUUAUUAGCAACUCAGAUUUUCAAUUAUGGGUAAUCCAGCUUUAGUAUUACUAUUCACGUCCAAAGCCAAUACCUAAAAAAUUAAUUAAUCAUAAUUUAAACAUUAUUUCCUGAAUGAUGAAUUUUAGAAGAAUAAUUAAUUAAUUUUAGAAGAAUUUUACCUUUCCAUCAGAGGGAAGAGCAAGAGCAGUGGAGAGAAAGAAUAACGUGACACACCAAUUCUAUUGUGUUUUUUGCAUUGAUAAGCUUAAUCACGCAUGCUUAAAAGCUGUCCUUCAUCAGCAGGUGUAGCCAUAAGGUUCCUGUUUAUUAUAAUGUUAAUUAUAGUUUAGAUGCAGAAUAUGAAACUAUAAAUAUUUCAUAAUUCAUUUUUUAUUACAUACUGGUAGUAUUAGUUUAUAUUUUCAAAAAUUGUUUUUUUUCUUUUAUAUUUGAGAGACAAACAAGUAUGUUCUUACCAAGGAUGUUUUCUGUCAUCUCACGAAGCUCCUUCAAACAUGGGUGCUCUCUAGGAACACACUUGUUUCAAGUAUAUACUGAACAACAACAACAAACAAGAACAUCAAUUAUAUUACAAUUAAUUCAGUUGACAGUUGUACAGAUAUAUCUCAUAUUAGAAGAGUGGAUAUACCUGAUAAAGUGCAUCACUUUGAAGGAACUCUGUGAGCAAGUUCAUUGUGUCCAAUGGGUUUGAUUUCUGUUUCUCUCCAUUGUUGAUAGCCAUAUCUUGUUGUAUGUAUCUUCUUAAUGCUUUUUUUGGAGUAUACAAGAAGCUCUCUCAAUGAUGAGAGAAAAAGCCUCAAGUGGGUCCAAUUUAGCAAGAUGAUUGUGGGGGUAGGUGUGUCUCGUAGACAAUGUCCUUAUCAUUUGAUAUGAUAGUAAUAUUCUCUAAUAAUUAAAAAUAAUUUUAUUACAGCUAGAAGGGUUUGGUAUGAAGUACAGAUACAUAGAUUUUCACAUAACUCUCCAGUUAUAUUAUCAUACUUAUAAUUAUGAACAUGUGUUUGGUGAAGUCAACGAUUCUGGCAUUUUAGUUAUACAUUUCCAUAUUGAACGUAUCAGAUAAAUCCAACUAGUUCGGUCCGAUAUAAAAUUCCACUAAGUUAAAGUGUUCAUAGUGUUUUACCCAGCCCCUCCUUCUUCCUUACCGCAACAUAUCGAUUUCGAGCUAAUCUAACCAAUCUCUUUUUGAUCUUCAGUACCUCCCACAAGAACUCUCGUUGAAUUUUGAUUUCUCUUCACAAUUGAUUUUGGCUUGUAGAAAGAUUGAUAAAUUGAAUAUUUGACAAGACGACAUUAAUCAUUAAUUUUAUCUCUAUUGACAUACAACGAUCUUCCAUGAGUUUAAUCUUCUAUGCAAGUUCUCCUAAGUGUCUACAUACUUCCUUCCUACCUUCUAGGUUGCCCCAACAUUUACUCUUUAAAAAUUGAGGGGAGAGCUCCUACGAACAUAAGAUUGUGGAAGCUGCUUUCAUAUAAAAUUAAACAUGUCUUCAAAUUUGUGAAGGUUCAAGAACCCAAGAACGGGGAGGUUUGGAUUGAUUUUCAGAUAUGACGGGUUUUUUUCAUUAAUUAAUGCAAACUAAUGACAGAACAACAAUGAUAAAAAUACACAAGUUUAUAUUGGUCCACAUUAACUAAAGUUAGUUAACUCCACUUGUCUGAGGUGGUUUCGCCUUCUCACAUGACCUUAUCCACAGAUUACAAACUCAAAACCAAUCUGCCAUGAUCUCGAGGCUACAGACUAAACUUAGUCCCUCAAAAAAUUUAACCAAAAUAAAAAUACAAAGAUUGGUGUUUUAAAGAAUGUUUCUAAUCAGCAAGAUACAUAAAAUGAGUUUCAUAGAUUACACUUAGAAAUAUACAGGUUAACACUCUAAGUGUAGUCGGUUUGAAAUUACUUAUCUUCGCGUCUCUAUUUAUUCACAAUUUCUUGUCCUAUUAUUAGAUGAGAAUAGUACCAUUAGAGGAUGAAUUGGAAAUUUUUUCAUUUUAGAGUUGUAGAUAUGGUACAAGAGUUGAGCUGUGAAUUGUGGAGAUCCGUUGAUAGGACAUUUAUUCCAACAUAUAUGUCCUUUUAAGGAACUUGAUUUUUCCGUUUGAAUGAGGUUUUUUAAGAAUAUUCUUUCAAUCAUUAUUCUAAAUCAUUUGCUUGUAUUUGAAUAAUAUUGUAGCUUGAUUAGAGUUUAAGCCGUAUGAAGUUAGACUUCAAGUCUAGUGAAAAUGAAGCUUGAAUAUAAUAAAAUCUGGAUUGUUUGUUUAGAAGCGUUGACAUUGGUAUCCAAAAUGACUGAUUUCUCAGUUAUACCUUUCGUAUUCAACCUUGUUUCAGAAUUUGAGAAAUUCAGAGUCCAGAGUCUAGAGUCCUUUGUCUAGAGUCCAGAGUCUGCUUUAUCUAGAGUACAAAGUCUGCUUUGUCUAGAGUGCAGAGUCUGCCUCAUCCAGAGUCCACUUAAUCUAGAGCCUAGAACUGUUGUGUCCAGACAGAGUCCAAAGUUACUUUGUCCAAAGUCCAGAGUCUUCUUUCUUUAUCUUUAAAAUUUCAGACAUAACCGAAAUUAUAGAGUACAAAACUGCUCUAUAUAUUUGUUAUCAUCAAAAACCUAAGGAUUGUAGAUUUAGAAAAACUGUUCCAACAAUAUCCCCUUUUGAUGAUGACACAUACAGUAUAUUCUGAGAAACUUUACUCAAUAAAAAAUCACUAGAAAUCAGAAGUUAAGAUUCUGAUAGCACCCCCCCCCCCCCCCCCCCAACCCGAUUUUAGCAAUUAUCAAAAUUACUUCAAAUUUUUCUUAGCUUAAGUUCAUAGAGUGAGAUUUGCAAGCUGCCCCUGAGUUUAAGACUUCGAAAAAUUUUGAUUUUCAAUAAGCACAAUAAUUUCAUAAUUUAUCGAACAAAAUUGUUAAAUGUUUGGGAUUUAUCAUCAGAUAAAAAUGAAUCAAAGUAAUAUCGUUUCUCCAUUUCUUCCUCUUUGUCAGCAAUAAAAAAUAUAUAAACUUGAAGAUUGAUAAAAUUGAUUAAGGAAGAGAAAUACUUUAUUAAUCAGUCAAAAUUACAAGUUGUGAACAAAAAAGGAUAAAAAUAUAUGAGAAAAGAUAGUUCAGAGGAGAGAAUGGUGGAGACAAGAAGGGAAAUCGACUAAUGAGUAAAGGAUCCAACUCUAGAGGAAAUCUUUCUAGACUUCUAUUAUUGACCAUCAGAGCUUUCAGCGCCAUCAAGCUUCAAGCCCUAACAGGUUAUAAGAACAUCAAUCAAGCCAACUUGUUGCACCUUAUUAACUAUUCUUUCUUUGUAGGUGUUUAAUUGGCUGCAUUAUAUGGUAAAACACAAAUGUCUUGACUGAUGUCAUGACAUGCAUAUGUGACUACAUUGUAGUUACUGCAGGACUAGCUAACACAGGAUUUAUUGAAUGUCAAACUGGACGUUGUGACAUUCAUACCUGUCAACAGAUACUAAGGAAUAGAACAUCAGGAGUUCUGUUAGAACUUAGUAUUCACUUGCAGUCUGGUUAUCAAGGAAGAACCAGACCUGGCAUAAGGCCUACUGAUUGAAUGUCAAACUGGAUGUUGUGACAUUCAUCAUUGACAGCAGCUACUGAAGAUUGGGCAGAGUGGUGUUCUGCUAUACUUCAGCAUUUUACUUAGUUUGUUCUUCAAGAGAAUAAAAGAACUAACUUAAGGCCAACUGUGUAAAUGUUAAGUUGGACACUUUGACAUUUACUAAUGUAAGCUGGUACUGUAGUAUGGUCAUUUUGAUCAUGUACAGGUCAGCAGAUUUGUACAGUCUGUUUUCUGGAAAAACAGACUCAGCAUAUGGACCUUGAUGUCAAGCUGAAUGUCGUGACAUUCAUGCCUGACAGCAUAUGCUAAAUUGUAGGUUGUUCAGUUUUCUGUUACAGCUUUCUCAGGCUAUUCUUUAGGAAGUCAACAGCUUAGAGAAAAUCCAGGAAAUCAACAACCAAGCUACAUUCAAUGAACCUAACAAAUAGCCUAUUUGUUAGCAACCUAAAUAUUGAAUUUGAGGGAACGUAUGUGACCUAAAAUUCAGGAAAAUACAGGUGCAAAAGCCCAGGUGCUGCAAUAUAAAAAGGAAGGCAUUCCUCCAUUCAGUUUCAGGGAUUUUGAGGCGUGAAGAUUUAGUGUGUCCAUCUUACUUCACUGCUGUAUUUUUGUGAGUCUAGAAUUAGACGUAUCUUGUAAGCCAAGUCAUUAUCAAAUAGAUGAUUGCUUUGGCAUAGGGUGUUCAUUGAGUUGUAAGUGUUGUGUCACUCAAAGCUUUUAAGCGUGAGUGCUGUGUAUCUUGGUUUAAGCUGUGAAGCAUAACCAAGAGUUGUUUUUGAAGUGUGACUUCAAAGUGUUUUUAAUAUCACUGAGGUGAUUGAGGGGGAGUGAGUAGGAACUCUGAUCUUAGAUUAAGAUUGAAAUUGCAUUGGGUAGGGAUUAAGUGAUAAGUUGUAAACGGGUGAGUUUAGCUUUGAAUUGAUACUACUAAUAGUGGAUUUCCUCCCUGGCUUGGUAGCCCCCAGAUGUAGGUCAUGUUGGACUGAACUGGGUGAACAAUUACUUGUGUUAUUUACUGCACUUACUGUUAAGUUCUGCAUAAUCCCUGUCUGUGCAGAAUUGGAUGUCAUAACAACCAGUGUGACAUCCAAAGUCUGAUAACUAGAAUUUCAAUUGGCAUCAGAGCAGGCACCCUGCCUGUGAAGUUCUGGGUGAGAUCUAGGGAAGUUACUUUCUAGUACCAUGGACAAGGAUUUAGGACACUCAAAUAGACCACCCAUGUUGGAUGGCUCUAAUUAUGAUGACUGGAAGCCUCGUAUGAUAGCCUUCUUAAGGUCUCUAGACAGCAAAGUCUGGAGAGCUGUCAACAAAGGAUGGGAACAUCCAAUGAGGACAGGUGAAGAUGGAGUCAGUGUGCAGAUUCCUGAAGAAGAUUGGGACAAGGAACAAGAGGCAUUAGCUCUUGGAAAUUCCAAAGCCUUGAAUGCACUGUUCAAUGGAAUCACUAAGAACAUCUUCAGGCUGGUGCACCAUUGUGAACUAGCUAAGGAAGUUUGGGAUACCCUCAAGGUAACUCAUGAAGGUACUUCCAAGGUGAAGAUGUCAAAACUUCAGAUGCUGACAACCAAGUUUGAAAAUCUGAGGAUGAAAGAGGAUGAGACUAUUCAUGACUUUCACAUGAAUAUUCUUGAAAUUGCAAACACCUCUGGUGGACUAGGUGAGAAAAUGACUGAAGAGAAACUUGUAAGAAAGAUUCUCAGGUCCUUGCCUAAGAGGUUUGCUAUGAAGGUCACUGCCAUAGAGGAGGCUCAGGACAUCAGCAAUAUGAAGGUAGAUGAGCUCAUUGGUUCUCUCCAAACCUUUGAAAUGGGCUUAGGUGAGUAUGCUGAGAAGAAGAAAAGCAUAGCCUUUAUAUCUAAUGCUGAAGAGGAGUCAGAAGAAGGAUAUACUGGAGGUGAUGAAAGUAUAUCAGAAGCCUUAGCCAUGCUUGGAAGGCAAUUCAACAAGUUCAUGAAGAAGAUUGAUCAAAGAGGUAGACCUAAUGUCAAGAACAUCCCGUCUGACAUUAAGAAAAGAUCAACUUCUGAAGAAAAGUUCAACCAUGGGAAGGGAAUCCAGUGUCAUGGUUGUGAAGGGUAUGGACACGUCAGAGCUGAAUGUCCUACUUACCUCAAAUUGCAAAAUAAGGGGCUAGCUAUCACAUGGUCUGAAGGAGAUUCUGAAAGUGAAUCUGAAGGAGAAUCUGCCAAACAUGUCACUGCACUAACUAGUGUGUGUGUCUCUGAAGAUGACACAAGUGCAGAUGAGCUGACAUUUGAUGAACUUGCUGCAGCAUAUAAGAAGCUGUGUACCACCAGUGCAGAAGUGCGUGCACAAGGAGAAAAGCAGAAGAAACUCAUCAAGGAACUGGAAGAUGAGAGACAGAAACAACUGUCUGCCAUAGAGGGGCUAAAUGAUGAGAUAGCCCUGCUGACCUCCAAGCUGAACCAGAUGACCAAAUCCAUCAGAAUGAUGAAUAAGGGAACUGACACCUUGGAAGAAAUUCUAAAGGUGGGACAGCAGUCUGGAACCAAAUCUGGGCUAGGAUUUGGAAAAAGAGCUGAACACAAACGCCCAAAGGCUAGAGUUCAGAAGUUCAAGCAGAUGUCAAAGCCAAUGUCUCAACAUCGAGGAGCUAGGAUGAAUGAUCAUCAGAAGAGAAUAUACCAGAAUUGGAGGUGUCACCACUGUGGCAGGCUUGGACAUAUAAAAGCCUUCUGCUACUGGAUUCAUGGCUUCCCUAACAGAGCCUCACAUGUCAGACCUAAGCAUAACACACGUAAGCGAUGUGUUCCCAUUAAGAAGCAACAAUGGUAUGCUAGGAUAGCACACACUGCCCUAAGGGCUUCUUCCAGAGAAGACUGGUACUUUGACAGUGGAUGCUCAAGACAUAUGACUGGUAUGGAAAAUCUACUGGUAGACAUUCAACCUCACACCACCAGCUAUGUGACUUUUGGUGAUGGUGCCAAAGGAAAAAUCAGAGGUGUGGGCAAACUGGACUGUUCUGGAGUGCCAAAACUGAACAAUGUGCUGUUAGUAAGAGGACUAACUGCAAACCUCAUCAGUAUAAGUCAGCUGUGUGAUCAAGGUUUUCAUGUUCAGUUUACUAAGGAGCUGUGCAUUGUGACAAAUGGUGACAAUCAGGAAGUUAUGAGAGGAACCAGGUCCAAAGACAACUGCUAUCUGUGGGAACCUGACCUCUCUAACUUUUCCACAACUUGCUCCUCAGCCAAGGAAGAACAGGAGGUGAAGCUGUGGCAUAGAAGACUUGGCCAUCUCCACUUACGUGGAAUGAAGAAGAUCAUAUCCAAGGAAGCAGUCAGAGGAAUGCCAAAGCUUCUGAUUGAUGAAGGAAGAGUCUGUGGAGAAUGCCAAGUGGGCAAGCAAACCAAGAUGUCACACCCAAAGCUGGGACAUUCCACAACCUCCAGAGUUCUGGAACUGCUGCACAUGGACCUAAUGGGACCUAUGCAGGUUGAAAGUCUUGGUGGGAAGAAGUAUGCCUACGUGGUGGUUGAUGACCAUUCCAGAUACACGUGGAUAAACUUCAUCAGAGAGAAGUCAGAUACAUUUGAUGUCUUCAAGGAUCUGUGCAUAAGACUUCAAAGAGAAAAGGACAGUUGUGUGGUCCGGAUUAGAAGUGAUCAUGGCACUGAAUUCAAGAAUUCCAAGUUUGAUGAGUUCUGCUCAUCUGAAGGAAUAAGCCAUGAGUUCUCCUCCCCUAUAACUCCUCAGCAGAAUGGAAUAGUUGAAAGAAAAAAUAGAACUAUUCAAGAAUCUGCCAGAGCAAUGAUUCAUGCAAAGAAGCUCCCUAUGCACUUUUGGGCUGAAGCAAUGAAUACCGCGUGCUAUGUUCACAACAGAGUCACCUUGAGAAAAGGAACCUCCUCCACUCUGUAUGAAAUAUGGAAGGGUAGAAAACCCACUGUGAAGUACUUUCAUAUUUUUGGAAGUAAAUGCUACAUUCUCACAGAUCGUGAACAGAGAAGGAAGCUAGAUCCCAAAAGUGAUGAAGGCGUAUUUCUGGGAUACUCCACGAACAGCAGAGCCUAUAGAGUGUUCAACUACAGGACCAAUGUCCUGAUGGAAUCCAUAAAUGUCAUUGUGGAUGAUAAAGAGGAAGGAACCGAUGUCAUGGAGGAUGUUGAAACAUUCCUUGAUAGUCCAACUGACAGUCCAGUCAAGCCUGAAGAAGUACAGGAACCUCCUCCUGAAUGUGAAGUAGAAGCACCUACCAAAGUGCCAUCUAUCAGAAUUCAGAAAGACCACCCUAAGGAUCUUAUCAUAGGGGAUCCCACCAGUGGUGUAACUACCAGGUCAAGAGGAAUAAACUCAAAUUCCUGCUUUGUUUCCAAGGUUGAACCAAAGAAUGUGAAAGAAGCCCUGACUGAUGAAUACUGGAUCAUUGCCAUGCAAGAGGAACUCGAGCAGUUCACAAGGCAUGAAGUAUGGGAGCUGGUUCCAAGACCUGAAGGGUCCAACAUCAUUGGUACCAAGUGGAUCUACAAAAACAAAUCUGAUGAGAAAGGAGUAAUUACUAGAAAUAAAGCAAGACUAGUAGCUCAAGGAUACACUCAAGUUGAAGGAGUAGACUUUGAUGAGACAUUUGCUCCUGUGGCUAGACUUGAGUCCAUCAGAUUGCUGUUGGGGGUAGCAUGCAUCCUGAAGUUUAAGCUAUUCCAAAUGGAUGUGAAGAGUGCAUUCUUGAAUGGCUACCUGAAUGAAGAAGUCUAUGUGGAACAACCCAAAGGGUUCUGUGAUCCUAACCAACCUGAGCAUGUAUACAAGUUGAAGAAAGCCUUGUAUGGGUUGAAGCAAGCACCCAGAGCUUGGUAUGAAAGGUUAACCGAAUUUCUGACCUCAAAUGGAUACAGAAAGGGUGGCAUAGAUAAAACCUUGUUUGUGAAGGAUGAAGAAGGCAAAAUCAUGAUAGCUCAAAUCUAUGUUGAUGAUAUAGUCUUUGGUGGAAUGUCAGAACAAAUGGUUAAAAAAUUUGUUCACCAGAUGCAGUCUGAGUUUGAAAUGAGUCUAGUGGGAGAACUGACCUAUUUCCUUGGAAUGCAAGUAAACCAAAUGGAGGACUCUAUGUUUCUCUCCCAAAGCAAGUAUGCCAAGAACAUAGUUAAGAAGUUUGGUAUGGAUCAUGCCAGGCACAAGAGGACUCCAGCUCCUACUCAUCUGAAGUUAACCAAAGAUGAUGGAGGGCCUAGUGUUGAUCAAUGCCUGUACAGAAGCAUGAUAGGUAGUCUGCUGUAUCUAACUGCAAGUAGACCUGACAUUUCCUAUGCAGUUGGAGUGUGUGCCAGAUAUCAAGCAGAGCCCAAGGUGAGUCACUUGAAUCAAGUCAAAAGGAUCCUCAAGUACAUCAAUGGGACAUGUGACUAUGGGAUGCUGUACUCACAUGGGUCUGAGCCUGUCCUAUCUGGGUACUGUGAUGCUGAUUGGGCUGGAAGUGCUGAUGACAGAAAAAGCACAUCAGGUGGAUGUUUCUUCUUAGGAGAAAACCUCAUAUCGUGGUUCAGCAAGAAGCAGAACUGUGUCUCUCUGUCCACUGCAGAGGCUGAAUACAUAGCUGCUGGAAGCAGUUGCUCCCAACUGGUUUGGAUGAAACAAAUGCUCACUGAGUACAAUGUCACUCAAAAUGUCAUGACAUUGUUCUGUGAUAAUCUCAGUGCCAUCAACAUCUCCAAGAAUCCCAUCCAACACAGCAGGACCAAACAUAUUGACAUUAGGCACCACUUCAUCAGAGAUCUGGUGGAAGACAAGGUGAUCACUUUGGAACAUGUAGCCACGGAUCUUCAACUGGCUGACAUAUUUACAAAGGCUCUGGAUGCUACUCAGUUUGAAAACUUAAGGAGCAAACUGGGAAUAUGUCUCUCUGAGACCUUAUAGCAACCACUGAUGUUUGGGAUAAAUUGUUUAAUAUCUCUGCCUAUUAAACAAUUUGUACUAGGCUAUGAUUGGUCAACAGAUCAUAGCUAUGCUGCUUGCAACAAGGGUGGAUACAAGAGGGUAAGGAGACACCCUACAGAGAGAAGGCCACUGUACCUGCAGGAGUUCAAGGAUGCUGUUCAUGCAGGAGUGGUUCUGGAUGUCAGAAACAAAAUCAUGGCAUCUGAUAUGGUGGUACCUACUGUAAAGCAAAAGUGGGUGAUCACUUGAUCGAAGCUGUGAAGCAAGAUCAAGUGGAUGUGAACUUGGUUGAAACUGUGAAGUAAAACCAAGUCUGGAACUCUGUCAUUGUGCUCUGACUAUGUUGUUGGCUUUGGCAACAUUUGUGACAAAAAGGGGGAGUAAUAACCACCAAUACCCCUGACAAACAGAGUGGGUCUCUACAACAGACUCUCAUGACAGAUCUGAAGAUUCCCCCCCUGCAGCUGAUGUUGAAGUUUAGGUGCAACUUCUAAUAUGUGUGUGCUGCUAUGUGAAGUUUUUAUUUAACUUCCAUGUGUGUGAGUGUGCUGCCACUCUGAGUGUAUUAGCUAGUAUUAUUCCGCUGCCAUGAACUCUGUUAUGGGGAUCAAAGUGUUUUAGCCAAAAAUUUGCCAAAGGGGGAGUUUGUAGGUGUUUAAUUGGCUGCAUUAUAUGGUAAAACACUAAUGUCUUGACUGAUGUCAUGACAUGUAUAUGUGACUACAUUGUAGUUACUGCAGGACUAGCUAACACAGGAUUAUUGAAUGCUGUGACAUUCAUACCUGUCAACAGAUACUAAGGAACAGAAGUUCUGUUAGAACUUAGUAUUCAUUUGCAGUCUGGUUAUCAAGGAAGAACCAGACCUGGCAUAAGGCCUACUGACUGAAUGUCAAACUGGAUGUUGUGACAUUCAUCAUUGACAGCAGCUACUGAAGAUUAGGCAGAGUGGUGUUCUGCUAUACUUCAGCAUAUAACUUAGUUUGUUCUUCAAGAGAAUAACAGAACUAACUUAAGGCCAAAUGUGUAAAUGUUAAGUUGGACACUUUGACAUUUAUUAAUGUAAGCUGUUACUGUAGUAUGGUCAUUUUGAUCAUGUACAGGUCAGCAAAUUUGUACAGUCUGUUUUCUGGAAAAACAGACUCAGCAUAUGGACCUUGAUGUCAAGCUGAAUGUCGUGACAUUCAUGCCUGACAGCAUAUGCUAAAUUGUAGGUUGUUCAGUUUUCUGUUUCAGCUUUUUCUCAGGCUAUUCUUUAGGGAUUCAACAGCUGAGAGAAAAUCCAGGAAAUCAACAACCAAGCUACAUUCAAUGAACCUAACAAAUAGCCUAUUUGUUAGCAACCUAAAUGUUGAAUUUGAGGGAACUUGUGUGACCUAAAAUUCAGGAAAAUACAGGUGCAAAAGCCCAGGUGCUGCAAUAUAAAAAGGAAGGCAUUCCUUCAUUCAGUUUCGGGGAUUUUGAAGCGUGAAGAUUUAGUGUGUCCAUCAUACUUCACUGCUGUAUUUUGUGAGUCUUGUAUUAGACGUAUCUUGUAAGCCAAGCCAUUAUCAAGUAGAUGAUUGCUUUGGCAUAGGGUGUUCAUUGAGUUGUAAGUGUUGUGUCACUCAAAGCUUUUAAGCGUGAGUGCUGUGUAUCUUGAUUUAAGCUGUGAAGCAUAAUCAAGAGUUGUUUUUGAAGUGUGACUUCAAAGUGUCUUUAAUAUCACUGAGGUGAUUGAGGGGGAGUGAGUAGGAACUCUGAUCUUAGGUUAAGAUUGAAAUUGCAUUGGGUAGGGAUUAAGUGAUAAGUUGUAAACGGGUGAGUUUAGCUUUGAAUUGAUACUACUAAUAGUGGAUUUCCUCCCUGGCUUGGUAGCCCCCAGAUGUAGGUCAUGUUGGACUGAACUGGGUGAACAAUUACUUGUGUUAUUUACUGCACUUACUGUUAAGUUCUGCAUAAUCCCUGUCUGUGCAGAAUUGGAUGUCAUAACAACCAGUGUGACAUCCAAAGUCUGAUAACUAGAAUUUCAUUCUUAAGACAAAAGUUCUGAGAGAACUCGUCCGUAAAGAAUGAAGAACGAUAUUUUCUCGCGAUAGGCCAUGAUCUUUGACUUCAUGAAGUUGUAGAUGGUGAGAGGUAGGCUAACUUUAACCCUUGUUAGUAGGAAGUACAUGAGAUACUUGUCAUCAAAAGUGAGCAAGUCCUAAUCCUUUUCCCUUGGCAGGAAAUUUGUCACCAGCAAUUGAUGCCAGAAUUUUACCAUAGGAGUGAGGGUAAAGGCACUUGCAGGCUUUUUAGGGUUGCCAUAAAUACGUUUAAGAAUGUUGGAGAUGGAGGGGUUAUUGCUUAUGUACUUAUUCCAUUAUCUUCACACUUUAUUGCUUUAUCAUAGAGUGGUGGAGUAAUGAUGAUUAGGAACCCAAGGACAUGGGACUGGGUUUCAAAAGCAUUCUGGUCGAUUUUCUUAAUGAACACAUUCACUCAGAAUUAUUUGAUGAUAAUAAAGUAAAUAGGUUCAUAGAUCAUGUCAAAGUAAUUGUCUCAUUGUUGAAAAGAGACAGUUUCUUGAAAAUCAAGCCCUUCAUCCUCCAGUUCUUCAAAAACAAGAAACUUUUCAUUUAGAGUGAACAAGAGGUUUUUAUUGCCAAUUAAGGUUCUGGAAGCCAUUUCUGCUUUAGGAUUCGUUGGAACGAAAUUGGUUUUCCCCAUAUCCCUUGGAUUUUGAUGAUGACAAAGUAUUUAAAGAACAAUAGAGUAUACUAAUGUUUGUUCAAGUGUGCAUGAUCAUAUACUAGAUUCCUAUUAAAUUCAAGUAUUGGUUUUGACUCUGAAUAUCCAAAGAGAAACAUGAAGAUCGUAUUAUGAUGUAUUAGAAGGUGAAGAACCGACUCUGAAAAAGUUAUCUUCUAAAGAGGUCAUCAUUCAAACAUUAGAGCCUGAAAUAAUCAACCUCUGAAGAACAGACCUUGGAGAAGUCUGCUUCUAGUGAUUAGAAUUUGAGCUAGUCAAAGUACAAGGACCAAGAUGACACUGAUAGGUCAUUGUUCAUCUCUGAACAUACUUUAUCACGUGAUGACCUAAGAUCUAGUUUCUUCAUAGAGUCUUCUAGGAUACAAAUUCUAAUUCCUUUUGUAGCAAAGGUUUUUUAAACUAGGUUUCACCUAACCAUACAGUUUGGUGAAACAUCUCAUCAUCUCCCAACGUAUCUUUUGAAGCUUCUCAUUAGACUCUAUUUUGCUGCAUCUCCAACAAAUCUUUUCUUCACUAUUUAAGGAGCUAAAAUACUUGAAGGUCAAUACAAAUGAUAUACACGCAUACACGCUGAACAUGCUAAUAGAUAACAAUUCCCAACUUAAGAGAAGCUACUUUGUUAAAGUUUUAGCACAAGCUAAACUUAGGAUUUCUUAUCCUUGUAUAUCUUAUAAAUCUUUAAGUUUUAAAAGAGUUCUAUUGCAUUGUAUUAUUUAUACACCUUUGAUUGUAUAUCAAGCAUAUUCACCUAACAAUCAUUUAUCUGCUAGGUAGAUUGUUAGAAAUCUCUUUGACCAAGGAAGUAUCAUACUUGUGUGUGUGAGCAAAGAAGUAUCUAGCUUGUGUGCAAGAGAAAGGAAGUCUCAUACUUGUGUGUGUGAUCUAGGAAGUCUCUAGCUUGUAUGCAAGAGCAAGGAAGUAUCAUACUUUUACAUGUGAGCAAGGAAGUCUCUAGCUUGUGUGCAAGAGCAAGGAAACCUAAUCAUGUUUGUGUGUGAGAAAGGAAGUCUCUAGCUUGUGUGUAAGAGUAAGGAAGUCUCAUACUUGUGUGUGUGAGAAAAUAAAGUCUCUUGCUUGCGUGCUUGAGAAAAUUGUAAUCUUGUUUGAUUAUAGUGAAAAUCUCUUAUAAGUACAAGGGGACUGGAUUAUACUCGAUUUGUGAGAGGAACCAGGAUAACUCUAUGUGUUAUUCUUAUUUCUUGCAUUUUAUAUCCGCUGCCUAUAUCUAACUAACUCAAAUUCUAUAACCUUGUGUUUAAAAUCAAACUUAAGAUUUCUCAAAUAAAGAAAAAGCCAACACAAUUCAACCCCUUCUCGUGUUUUCCUCACCUGAGUUGGCAUCAAAGCACGAUAUGUGCUUAACACUUAACAAUGGUACAAAAAAGAUCUUGAGAAAAACAUAUUGAUCUAUGUCUAGUGUAUUUGAAUCUGAGAGUGGUACUCCUACUCCUCAUAUUGCUAUAAAUCAUGAAUAUAGUAAUCUAGAAUGGAUCCAAUCAAGAACAUUUUUGAGAAGCCUGCUUUAACUGGGAGGAUUGCCCGUUGGAAGAUGUUAUUAUCUGAGUAUGAUAUUGAAUACCGAUCUCAAAAAGCUAUUAAAGGUAGUGUCUUGGCUGACCAUUUUCCUCACCAACCUAUUGAAGAUUAACAAUCAGUGCAGUAUGAUUUUCCUGACGAAGAGAUUUUGUACUUGAAGAUAAAAGAUUGUGAUGAAUCAUAUCUUGAAGAAGGGCCAGAGCCUGGUUCUCGUUGGGGCAUGGUAUUUGAUGGAGCUGUUAAUUCGUAUGGUAAUGGCAUUGGGGCAAUGAUUAUUACUCCUCAAGGCACUCAUUUUCCGUUUACAGCUAGAUUGACCUUCAAAUGUACAAACAAUAUGGCUGAGUAUGAAGCUUGCAUUAUGGGGCUUGAAGAGGCCAUUGAUCUCAGAACCAAAUAUCUUGACGUCUAUGGAGAUUCAACUUUGGUUAUAAAUUAGAUAAAAGGUGAAUGGGAAGCGAAUCAACCCGGUUUGAUACCAUAUAGAGAUUAUACGAGGAGGAUAUCAACUUUCUUUACAAAGGUUGAGUUUCAUCAUAUCCCUCGAGACGAAAAUCGGAUGGCAGAUGCUCUUGCAACAUUAGCUUCAAUGAUUGUGGUGAAAUUUUGGAAUGAGGUUCCCAAUUUGAAUGUGAUGCGUCUUGAUAGGCCAACUCAUGUAUUUGUUGUUGAAGAAGUCAAAGAUGAAAAGCCAUGGUAUUAUGAUAUCAAAUGUUUCCUCCAAUACCAGAUUUACCCGCCUGGGGCAUCUUUGAAAGAUAAGAAGACUUUGAGAAGAUUAGCUGGUAACUUCUACCUGAAUGGUGAAGUGCUUUAUAAGAUAAAUUUUGAUAUGGUUUUGCUCAUAUGCGUGGAUAGACACGAAGCAGACCUGUUGAUGACUGAAGUCCAUGAAGGUUAGUUUGGUACCCAUUCCAAUGGACAUGCUAUGGCAAAGAAGAUGUUUAGAGCAGGUUACUAUUGGCUGGCAAUGGAGUCUGACUGUUGUAAGUUUGUGAAGAAAGGCCAUAAGUGUCAAAUUUAUGCAGAUAAGAUUCACGUUCCUCCGACACUGUUGAAUGUCAUUUCCUCUCCAUGGCCCUUCUCCGUGUGGGGAAUUGAUAUGAUUAGCAUGAUUGAGCCUAAAGCAUCAAACGAACAUCAUUUCAUUUUGGUGGAUAUUGAUUACUUCACAAAGUGGGUUGAAGUGACAUCAUAUGCAAAUGUGACCAAGCAGGUUGUGGUCUGAUUUAUCAAGAAUCAGAUUAUAUGUGUAAGAACAAAAAUUGUUCUACAACAGAUUCCAUGAUUUUGAUGAUAACAAAGGAUGAAACCAAAAAUGGCACCCUAACGAAAAGUUUCUAAGUGUGCAGGGUUCUAAGGAAAGAAGGAAGAGAUCUGAUGACGUCAUCAGAUACAGAAUCAUAUCAGAUACAAAUUAUCAGAAGACCAGAAGUAGAAACACGUUCAAGAAAGUCUAACUCUGAGCAAAACAGCAAAAUAUCAGAAGCAUCUGAACAAGAAGUACGCUCUAGAAGUUCUGACUCUGAACAACGGUAUGUCAAACUCCAGAAGCUCUCAGCGCUAUCUGAAGAAACCAUCAGAACUCAAAAGAGAUCAACAUCAGAAGNNNNNNNNNNNNNNNNNNNNNNNNNNNNNNNNNNNNNNNNNNNNNNNNNNNNNNNNNNNNNNNNNNNNNNNNNNNNNNNNNNNNNNNNNNNNNNNNNNNNNNNNNNNNNNNNNNNNNNNNNNNNNNNNNNNNNNNNNNNNNNNNNNNNNNNNNNNNNNNNNNNNNNNNNNNNNNNNNNNNNNNNNNNNNNNNNNNNNNNNNNNNNNNNNNNNNNNNNNNNNNNNNNNNNNNNNNNNNNNNNNNNNNNNNNNNNNNNNNNNNNNNNNNNNNNNNNNNNNNNNNNNNNNNNNNNNNNNNNNNNNNNNNNNNNNNNNNNNNNNNNNNNNNNNNNNNNNNNNNNNNNNNNNNNNNNNNNNNNNNNNNNNNNNNNNNNNNNNNNNNNNNNNNNNNNNNNNCCAGAAAUCUCAAGAGCAUGGGAAUCUUGAAGAAGAUUCAAGUCAGACCCACGCUGGACACCUCCUGGGACGCCUUGAAAGAUCAGAGGAAGCUGCCCCAUGGUCUUGCAAGGUUCUACAAGAAUGAACCCAGAGACGCUAUCCUCUUCUAUAUGCAGCGUCUGAAGGAUGAAGGAGUCGACAUCUCUGACUUCAGACUAGACGAUUGUCUAGAUUCAGAAGAAGACUUUGUCAGGUUCAAAAGAGGUCCCUCUGAAAAGAAGUCUUCAAAGGCCAAGAAAGCAAGGCUAGGAGAGACUUCUGGAACCAGAUCUCCAGCACCUCUGCAAGUAACUACUGGUAAGUUUGCUCCCUCUAUUCCCUCUGAACUUCUUAUGGCUUCUUCUAAUCCUCUCCCAGCACCUAUAUACACCACCUCUGAAACCCCACCUUCUACAACCAGAACCUCACAACCUCUACCUAAAUUUAAUGUUGCCCAUACAUCACUACCUCUAUCCGAAGCUGAAGAACUCAAUCAAAUCACCUCUUCAUCUUCAAAUCCAGAAUCACCCCUACCUUAUCCUCUCCUCUGACCCAGAACCUUCUGACCCUGCUUCUCCCACUUUAGCUCACCUUUACUCUCUAAACCAACACUCACAACAACCACAACAACCUCCACCUGAAACUGAAGUCACUUCACCACCCCUAGAACAAACAACCAACGACCCUUCUGAAGCUCAACCCUCUGACAUCACCCCCCAAACCACUUCCGCUGAACCUGAACCUCUAACAUUAGACUUAAACCCUCCAAACUCUCCACCCCAAACAUCUAAACCUGAACCUGAACAUUCCAUUCCUACCCUUGAGGAAGCCAUAAUGUUGUUCGCAGGGGCUUCAGUACAGAAGGUCAAGUCUUUGACCAUUAACUCUGGCAUCAAUGAUGAUCCCGACUCUGUAAGGACACACUGGAACAGAGUCAUUGGCUGGAUGACUUCUGAAGCCUUCAAACUGAAGCACAUCUCUGAGCAAGUCAGAAACGACUUCAUCAGAGAUGCUGAGGCAAGACUACAAGAAAAACUUUCCAGAGAAGCUGAAGAAGAAGCAAGAAGGCUGGAGGAAGAAAGAGCAAGGGAAGCUGAAAUCCUAAGGGCAAAGGAAGCUAAAGCUAAAGCUCUGGCCGAUGCUGUUGCUGCCGCCGAAGCUGAAGCUAAAGCUCUGGCCGAUGCUGCUGCUGCUGCCGAAGCUGAAGCACAGGCUGCUGCUGAAGCUGAAGCAAAGGCCGCUGCUGAAGCACAGCAGGCUCUGACUCAGGGGGAGUCCUCAUUUGUUGUUCCUAUGGUUCUCCAGACGCUGGAAGAACUGAAGAAAGAUCAAAAGGAACUCCGUGCCAGAAUGGAUAAACAAGACACUGUCAACGACAACAUUCAGAACAUGCUAGCUCAAUUGCUUUAGAGAAUGCCUCCGCCUCCCAACCCCUAGACACUUAGGAUUUUGUUUGCCUGUUGUCUUGCUUUCCUUGUUUCUGAUGUUUACUUGUUCUUUUUGCCCUUGUCUCUGUUGCCUUUUUAUCUGAAUACAAUGCUUUUCUCUUAAAUUUUUUUUUGUGCUAUGUCUUUUUGAUUCUGACAAAAAGGGGGAGAAGUCAUUAAUAGCUCUGAUGAAAAUACUGUCUAAAUACCUUAAGCACUCUGCAACAUAUUUUUCUUAAAAAUAAAUUUAUCUAACACUAGACUUAAGAAAUUGCAGAAGGUAUCAAGAAACCUCAUUGCUUGGAAGCUCUGGUAAGGACUUCUGAACUCCCUAGCCUAUCUCAGGGGGAGCUCUUGUCUAUUUGAUCUGAUAUUGUUUAUGUUUCAUCUGCUAAUUGAGUUUGUUUUGUCAUCAUAAAAAAGGGGGAGAUUGUAAGAACAAAAAUUGUUCUACAACAGAUUCCAUGAUUUUGAUGAUAACAAAGGAUGAAACCAAAAAUGGCACCCUAACGAAAAGUUUCUAAGUGUGCAGGGUUCUAAGGAAAGAAGGAAGAGAUCUGAUGACGUCAUCAGAUACAGAAUCAUAUCAGAUACAAAUUAUCAGAAGACCAGAAGUAGAAACACGUUCAAGAAAGUCUAACUCUGAGCAAAACAGCAAAAUAUCAGAAGCAUCUGAACAAGAAGUACGCUCUAGAAGUUCUGACUCUGAACAACGGUAUGUCAAACUCCAGAAGCUCUCAGCGCUAUCUGAAGAAACCAUCAGAACUCAAAAGAGAUCAACAUCAGAAGUUAGAUAGCAAGAUUCCCAGAAACAUGAAGACUCUGAUCAUGGAUUUCCUAAUAAAGAAAGAGUAACGUUAACUUCAAAUAAAGGCUUGGAAAUGGAUUUCCUAAUACAGAAAGAGACGUUAACUCCAAAUUCAAAUGAAAAGGAACUAUAUUUGGAAAGAAGUCAUUCGAGGAGAAAAAGUAGUGUUGGCAAGAAGCUAUAUAAGUUAUGGCAUUAAUUCAAAUUAUUAUCCAUCAAUUUCAACGACUACUUCACUCCUAUAUAAAGGACAACAAUUAUCUUUGAGAGGUUAAGAAGCAAGCAUACACAAAAACAUUCUUUAUCUCUCUCAAUAUUUCACAAAGCUUUUGCUUAAAACGUGAAACACUUUUGUUCUUACUGUUGUAAUAUUUGCUUAUCUUAGAAGCACUUUAGAUUACAUUGUCUUUCAUCUAUUGUUUUAUUUUCCUCAAGUGACUCUGCGCAGUCUGUAUACUUGAGAGGACUAAGAGAUCCUUCUCUUAGACGUUGGUUGUAAACAAUCUUUCAAGAUUAGUGGAUUAAGUCCUUGUUGAAGGCGAAAUCACCUUGGCCGGGUGGACUGGAGUAGCUUUGUGUUAUAAGCGAACCAGUAUAAAUUCCUUGUGUGGUUUUUAUUUUAAAAAGUGCUUAUUUUCCAAAAUAAUUCAAACCCCUCUUUCUUGUUUUUCUGACCUUCAAUAUGCCGUUAUGGUGUGCCGAGUAAGAUCAUCACUAAUAAUGGAUCGACCUUGAACAAUAAUAUGGUGGAAGCUCUUUGCAAAGACUUCAAGAUUGCACAUCUAAUUCUUCUCCCUACAGAUCCAAGAUGAAUGGGUCUGUUGAAGCAGCAAAUAAGAAUAUCAAAAAGAUCAUUCAAAAGAUGGUUGUGACAUAUAAAGAUUGGCAUGGAAUGCUCCCAUUUGCUUUGCAUGGGUACCGUACAUCCAUCCAUACUUCAACAGGGGCAACCCCUUUCUCUCUUGUUUAUGGCAUGUAAGUUAUGCUUCCCGUAGAGGUUGAGAUCCCAUCAUUGCAUGUUUUGAUGGAAGCCAAGUUGACAGAAGUUGAAUGGUGUCAGACCAGAUAUGACCAGCUGAAUUUGAUUGAAGAGAAGAGAUUGAUUGUCAUGUGUCAAGGUCAGUUAUAUCAACAGAGAAUGAAGAAAGAUUUUGAUAAGAAGGUCAAGCCUCAUGUGUUCAGAGAAGGUGACCCCGUGCUCAAGAAGAUUCUAUCUUUCAAACCUGAUGCUAGGGGCAAAUGGACUCUUAAUUAUGAAGGCCCAUAUUUUGUUAAGAGAGUCUUUUUAGGCGGUGCUUUAAUUCUUACAACUAUGGAUGGUGAAGAGUUCACGCGUCCUGUGAACGUCGAUGCAGUCAAGAAAUACUUCACCUAAAAACAAUAAGAACAACUCACUAAGUUGAAAAACCGAAAGGGCGACUUAGGCAAAAAUGAGCGUCUCGGUGGAUUGAAAACCCGAAAGGGCGAUCCAGGCAAAAGUUAGAGACAUAAAAUAGAAAAUUCAUCCCGGUAGAUUGAGUAACCCGCCUUAGGGCAAUAUAGGCAAAAAUUAGGGUUUAUGGCAAGUAAUUGCAUCCGUCCGGUCCUGAACAUUGAAGCAGUUUUGAGCAGUCAUUUGGUUCUGAUUCAUUAUCUCAAUCAAAGACAAGAGCAUAGUGGAUUUCAAAGUUGGUUGGGAGAGUAGUUGUCAUUGUAUUCAACUUAGCUCUUUUCCAUGUAAAUUAUCAUUUUCAAACUUUGUAAAGAUCCAUGGAGUCCCGCCAUUUGCCGACUGCCAUUAUAUUAAAUAAAGUUGAGCCUUAUCCAAUUAUUUGAUAUUCUCAUUUGUUUCAGUUUUAAAAUUGAAUUUUUAUGAUGAUAAUUUCGAAAUGAAUAAAUCAAUGAACAAUUAUUUUUCUUAAAAUAGUAAGGCAUUUACUUUAAGAAUAAUUGAUUUCAAAAAGAAAUGUCAACAACAAUCCAAAUAACGGUAACUCUUAAUGUGUGAAGCAUUGUGGUCUUCCCCGAGCGUUUGUUUGUGAAAUUCUGGUAUCAGAUAUAAGAUGUCGAAGGUAAUGUCACGACACUAAUAUCUGUUAACACAUAUAGGAUAAAGAUACAGAAUGGUAAAGCAAAUGACACAAGCAAUUGUUAACCCAGUUCGGUGCAACUCACCUACGUCUGGGGGCUACCAAGCCAGGAAGGAAAUUCACUAAAAUAGAAUUAGUUCAAAGACUCUCCGUACACUUCAACAAGUUACAGUCUUUCUCACCUAAUCUCUACCCGUGCAAUUUCUACCUAAGCACUCUUAGAUAUGAGAACCCACUCACUUCCCUACAAUCACACCUGUGAUUUUAAACAACAAUUCCUUGAGAAAAGAAAACACUUUUCAAUAACACACUCUUGAUUUUACUUCACAGUUUCAAUCAAGAAGACACACUCUUGAUCUUGCUUCACAGCUUUGAUCAAGAAGACACACACUUGAUCUUGCUUCACAGCUUUGAUCAAGUAGACACACACUCUUGCUUAACAGCUUUAGAGUGACAAAUUACAACCACAAAUCAGUCCAAUUCAAUCAUCAAAAGAUGACUUGAAUGGCUUACAAGUCUCACGACUAAACAGACACAAACCCUAGCUCUCUCUCUAUAUUUCGCUCAGUAUUGGUUGUGUUGUAAAACAGGUUUUCUAAGUCCCUUUUUAUAGAAGCUUUCAGCUGGGCUUGGACAUCUUGAAAACCCUAAAUCUAUUUUCCAAUUAAAUCUUUUUAUAACAGCUGGUUAGAUCUCCUUGGAAAAUAAGUAAAUCAGGUUGUAAUCCAUGAUUGAAUGCGCCAGCUAAUCAGAUCUUCAAUCAUACAUAGAUUGCCAUUAAUUGUGCAAUCACAAAACACCAGACAUUCACACUGAAUGUUCUGUGUACAGGAUGUCAUGACAUCGGGUCUGACAUCCUGGAAAAAUCCUGCAUAAUCCAAUAAUUCCUUUUAUAACUUCCAGCAGGUACAACCAUAUCAGAUGCCAUGACCUUGUGUAUGUCAUCUGAAACAAUCCUGCAUGAACAUGUCUUUCAUUUAAGCUCCAGCAGGUACAUCCAAUAUCAGAAGCCAUGGCAUUGUAUGUGGCAUUCUGAAACAAUCCUGCAUGAACAUGUUCUUGAACUCCAGCAGGUACAUAGGAUAUCUCAUGUUAAGACAUCACACAUAACAUCUUGUGAACAUUCUUUGUUUUACCAAAAUUGCUGCCAACACUUAGAAUCAACAAACUCCCCAUUUGGCAAAUUUUGGCUAAAACAUAUAUCUGUCCUUUUUGUUCACAAGGUAAACUAUCAGCAGUUAAACAACUUAACAGUAGUUUAAACAGCAGCAGAAGCAAAACAAUUACUAGUUAUAGCUACUAGUAAUACACACAUGCACAAGGGUACUUCUCCUCCCCCAAAAUUUGUGCAACAAAAACAGAAUUACUAGUUAUGGAUGCAACUAGUAAGACACACAAAUGCACAAGGGUACUCCUUCUCCCCCUAAAUCUGUGCACACAAUAAACAGUCUCCAUGAACAUAACAGCUACUGUAACUCCAGCACCUGUACCAGCCAGAAUGUCAUUCUGACAUCUGCUUCAACAACAACACCUGUGCACCAUAUCAGACAUCCUCUUUGACAUUUGUAAACAGAACAACAUUCUGUUUUAACACCUCUGCACUUCCUUUAAUAAUAGUUGUCCUCCAGCUAUAUACAUCUCACAACUUCCACAACAACUUCCAUAUCAGCACUUCUCCCCCUUUUUAGUCAAAAUUGACCAAAGGUGACCAAUCAGACAAAAUAAAUGUCUAUUAGCCUACAACUUCCACAACAACUUCCAUAUCAGCACUUCUCCCCCUUUUUAGUCAAAAUUGACCAAAGGUGACCAAUCAGACAAAAUAAAUGUCUAUUAGCCUAGCAGAGAAAGUUAGAUCAGAUGUUAUAACGUUAAGCAUGUUAAAACAUAAUAUUCAGGAAGUACAAACCAUCAUCAUACACAGUUGUGAUAGCUGAGAUAAUGACCAAAUCCAAGGAACUCUUUAAGAGCCCUAAAUAUUACAAAACAAGCAUCAAUGAGGACUGCCACACAUUACACCUUUUUAGAAAAACAAUAACACCUCAGUCUUCAAAUAGCAACACCAAAAUAGCUUCCAGCCACACAGUCUAGUCUUUGCCACAACACACUUUACCCAGUCAGAAAUAUCCUCGGGGAUAACCAUAAACUCCUUUACUUGCUAUAGGUUCUCAUGAACACAGAUCCCUAACUUCCCCCUUAAACAUUCAAAUUGAUUGGCAUCCAAAGCUUUAGUGAAAAUGUCUGCUAAUUGCUUUUCAUUAGUAACAUGCUCCAGAGUUAUGAUCUUCUCUUCUACAAGUUCUCUGAUGAAGUGAUGACGAAUGUCAAUGUGCUUUGUCCUGCUAUGUUGAAUAGGAUUUUCAAAAAUAUUAAUGGCACUCAGGUUAUCACAGUAUAAUGUCAUGACUUCUUGAGUGACAUUGUAUUCAGACAACAUUUGCUUCAUCCAGACCAGUUGAGAACAGCUACUCCCAGCUGCUAUGUAUUCAGCUUCAACAGUGGAUAGAGAUACACAGUUUUAUUUCUUGCUGAACCAUGAAAUCAGAUUGUUCCCCAAAAAGAAGCAUCCUCCAGAUGUGCUUUUCCUAUCAUCAGCACUUCCGGUCCAGUCAGCAUCACAGUAACCAGUCAACAUGGAUCCAGAUCCAUGAGUAUACAACAUCCCAUAGUCACUGGUGCCAUUGACAUAUUUCAGUAUUCUCUUCACUUGGUUUAUGUGACUGACUUUUGGUUCAGCUUGAUACCUAGCACAAACACCUACAGCAAAUGCAAUGUCAGGUCUGCUUGCUGUGAGAUAUAGCAGACUACCUAUCAUGCUUCUGUAUAGACUCUGAUCUACACUGACACCAUUUUCGUCUUUGGAGAUUUUCACAUGAGUAGGAGCAGGUGUCCUUUUAUGGCUUGCAUUUUCCAUGCCAAACUUCUUCACAAUGUUCUUGGCAUACUUGCUUUGAGAUAGAAAGAUAGAGUCUUCCAUCUGUUUGACUUGUAGCCCAAGAAAGUAGGUCAGUUCUCCAACAAGGCUCAUCUCAAACUCAGAUUGCAUUUGUCUAACAAAAUGUUCAACCAUCUGUUCUGACAUCCCACCAAAAACAAUGUCAUCUACAUAUAUUUGUGCCACCAUGAGCUUUCCUCCUUCAUUCUUCACAAACAGAGUUUUGUCAAUACCUCCCUUUUUGUAUCCAUUGUCAGUGAGGAACACUGUGAGUCUCUCAUACCAAGCCCUGGGAGCUUGCUUCAACCCAUAGAGGGCUUUCUUUAAUCUGUACACAUGUUGUGGAAGAUUUGGAUCUGUGAAUCCUUUAGGCUGUUCAACAUAUACUUCUUCAUUUAAGUAGCCAUUCAGGAAGGCACUUUUUACAUCCAUUUGAAACAGCUUGAAUUUCAGAAUACAUGCCACUCCAAGCAAUAGUCUAAUGGACUCAAGGCGAGCUACAGGAGCAAAUGUUUCAUCAAAGUCUACUCCUUCAACUUGAGUAUAUCCUUGAGCUACUAAUCUAGCUUUGUUUUUAGUAACAACCCCUUGUUCAUCAGAUUUAUUCUUAUAUACCCACUUUGUUCCUAUGACAUUUACUCCUUCAGGUCUAGGAACCAAUUCCCAUACUUCAUUCCUCUUGAAUUGGCCUAACUCCUCUUGCAUGGCAUUGAUCCAGAACUCAUCAGUCAAGGCUUCCUUGAUAUUUCUGGGUUCAAUCUUUGACACAAAGCAGCCAUGUGAGAUCACUUCCCUUGAUCUAGUAGUGACUCCUUUAUCUGGAUCUCCUAUGAUAAGAUCUUUGGGAUGAUCCUUCUGAAUUCUGAUAAAGGGUCCCUUGUUGAUUUUGUCAUCUUCAGGUUCAACUUGAGGAGGUUCUUCUUCCUUAUUUUUGUUUGAGAAGUUAGCUGGAGAAUCAUUCAGAGAUGUCUCGACAUCGUCUGUGACAUCCGUCUGUUGGUCAUCAACCACAACAUUAAUGGAUUCCAUUAAUACAUUAGUUCUGGAAUUAAAGACCCUGUAAGCUCUGCUGUUUGUUGAAUAGCCCAGAAAUAUUCCUUCAUCACUUUUGGGAUCCAUCUUCCUUCUUUGCUCACGAUCAGCCAGGAUAUAGAAUUUGCUACCAAAUACAUGGAAGUAUUUGACUGUAGGUUUUCUUCCUUUCCAGACUUCAUAAAGGGUUGUGGGAGUCCCUUUCUUUAAUGUCACUCUGUUGUGAACAUAGCAGGCUGUGUUCAUGGCAAUGGAAGUAUUUGACUGUAGGUUUUCUUCCUUUCCAGACUUCAUAAAGGGUUGUGGGAGUCCCUUUCUUUAAUGUCACUCUGUUGUGAACAUAGCAGGCUGUGUUCAUGGCUUCAGCCCAAAAAUGACAGGGCAAUUUCUUAGCAUGAAUCAUAGCUCUCGCUGAUUCUUGAAGAGUCCUAUUUUUUCUUUCCACCACACCAUUUUGCUGGGGAGUGAUGGGAGAUGAGAACUCAUGAUGAAUUCCUUCUGACAAGUAGAAUUUAGCAAAUUUGUUGUUCUCAAACUCCUUCCCAUGAUCACUUCUAAUUUUGACAACAAAACUUUCUUUUUCCCUUUGAAGUUUCAGACAAAGCUCCUUAAAGACUUCAACUACAUCAGAUUUUUCUCUUAUAAAAUUGAUCCAGGUGUAUCUGGAGAAAUCAUCCACCACCACACAUGCAUAUUUCUUCCCACCAAGGCUUUCUACUUGCAUGAGUCCCAUCAAGUCCAUAUGAAGGAGUUCCAAGACUUUGGUAGUUGUGUCAUGUCUGAGCCUCUGGUGUGACAUCCUUGUCUGACAUUCUCCAUAGAUUUUCCCCUCAUCAAUCUUUAAGUUGGGAAUUCCUCUAACAGCUUCAACUGAUAUGAUCCUCUUCAUACCUUUAAGGUGCAGGUGGCCCAAUCUUUGAUGCCAUAUCUUCACUUCUUCUUCUUUGGCUAAGGUACACAUUGAAGAGUAUCCAGUUUCUUGAGAUCUCCACAUGUAGCAGUUGUCUUUGGACCUAACUCCCUUCAUGAUUACUUCAUUUUCUUUGUUAGUAAUCAGACAUUCAGUUCUGGUGAAGUUUACAUUCAGACCUUGAUCACACAGUUGACUGAUGCAAUUACUUCAUUUUCUUUGUUAGUAAUCAGACAUUCAGUUCUGGUGAAGUUUACAUUCAGACCUUGAUCACACAGUUGACUGAUGCUUAUAAGAUUAGCAGUUAAUCCCUUAACAAGUAGGACAUCAUUAAGGUCAGGAACUCCAGGGCAAUCCAGCCUACCCAUUCCCUUGAUUUCACCCUUUGCACCAUCACCAAAGGUAACAUAACUCAUGGCAUAAGGAUGAAGUUCAGUUAGCAAAUUUUUGUUCCCAGUCAUAUGUCUGGAGCAACCACUAUCAAAAUACCAAUCUUCUUUAGCUGAAACUCUGAGGGAAGUGUGAGCUAUUAGACUUGUGACCUUUGUCUUAGGAACCCAUUGCUUUUUGUUGAGAGUCCUGUGAUGCUUGGACCUUGAUUGGUAUUGAGACUGAACAGGGCCAGGAUAGCCACAUAGCUUAUAGCAGAAGGGCUUCAGGUGGCCAAAUUUUCCAUAGUAUUGGCAUCUCCAUAUUUGAUGCUUCCCUUUCUGCUGUUGUGACAUCUGAUGUGACAUCUCAGGUUUUCUUUUAACAUGGCUGCACUUAGGUUUGGAUUUUGGUUUGCAACCAGUGUAACUGCACUCAGCCUUGAAUCUAGUGCCAGAUUUGUUUCCUGUUAUUUGGCCAGUCUGGAGAAUCUUGUCUAAGAUGGCAGAUCCAUUGUUAAGCAUUCUUACAUACUUAGUCAUCUCAUCUAGUUUGGAAUUCAAGAAUACAGCUUCAGUCUUCAAUUUUGAGAUGGUUUCCACAAACUCUUCCUUUUCAUUUUUCAGCUGAGCUAUCACUUUCUUCUGGCUUUCAACUUGUCUGCACAUUCCUGCACUUCUGUGGCACAACUCUUUGUAGGUAGUGGCCAGCUCUUCAAAGGUUCUUUCAUCAUCAAUUGACUCUUCCUCAGAUCCCCAUCUUCCUGUCAAUGCAGUCACAUGGUUUGUAGCUUCUUCUAUUUCACUUCCAUCAGACCAAGAGGCCACAAGACUCCUCUUUUGUUUCUUGAUGUAGGUCCCGCAUUCAGUUUUAAUAUGACCAUACCCAUUACACUCAUAGCACUGAACUUCUUUGGGCUUUUCUUCAGACUUUGUUUUCUUACCAAAGCUGUUGUAUUUACUGAUGUCAGAUGUGAUGUUCUUGACAUUGCCCUUUGCUCUCACAUCUACCUUUUUCAUCAGUCUGUUGAACUGUCUUCCCAGCAUUGCUAUCUCAUUUGCCAGAUCUUCAUCAAUAUCUUGACCAUUCCUCAUCUUCCUCUUCAGUGUUUGACAUAAAUGCAAUGCUCUUGGCUUUCUUUUCAGCUCCAUCACAUAUUCCCAUCUCAAAUGUUUGGAGGGAUCCAAUUAGCUCAUCAACUCUCAAAUUUGAGAUGUCUUGAGAUUCUUCUAUGGCUGUUACUUUCAUAGCAAAUCUCUUGGGGAGUGAUAUGAGUAUUUUUCUUACUAACUUUUCAUCUGACAUCUUCUCACCCAAGGCUCCAGAGGCAUUGGCAAUUUCAAGGAUACUCAUGUAGAAUUCAUGAAUAUUUUCAUCUUCUUUCAUAUUUUUCUUACUAACUUUUCAUCUGACAUCUUCUCACCCAAGGCUCCAGAGGCAUUGGCAAUUUCAAGGAUACUCAUGUAGAAUUCAUGAAUAUUUUCAUCUUCUUUCAUCCUUAAGUUUUCAAACUUAGUGGUGAGCAGCUGUAGUCUAGACAUUUUCACUCUAGAGGUGCCUUCAUGAGUGGUUUUGAGAAUGUCUGAAGCAUCUUUAGCUACUUCAUAGGUGUUUACUAAUCUGAAGAUGUUUUUGUCCACUCCAUUGAAGAUGGCAUUCAAUGCUUUAGAAUUUCCAAGGGCUAGGUCAUCCUCCUCCUUGGACCAUUAUUCUUCAGGCUUUUCUCAAUAUUGGCUUCUCCUUCUUUAAUAACUACAGGGUGCACCCAGCCUGUCAACACAACAUUCCAAGCCUUGUUAUCAAGAGAUUUUAGAAAGGCUACCAUUCGAGGUUUCUAAUAGUCAUAGUUAGAACCAUCCAAAAUUGGUGGCCUGUGAACAGAUCCUCUAUCUCUCUCCAUUGUACCAGAAAGUAUUGCCCCUAGAUCUCACCCAGAACCAGAGCAGGAUGCCUGCUCUGAUACCAAUUGAAUUCUGGUAUCAGAUAUAAGAUGUCGAAGGUAAUGUCACGACACUAAUAUCUGUUAACACCACAUAGGAUAAAGAUACAGAAUGGUAAAGCAAAAUGAACAAAGCAAUUGUUAACCCAGUUCGUGCAACUCACCUACGUCUGGGGGCUACCAAGCCAGGAAGGAAAUUCACUAAAAUAGAAUUAGUUCAAAGACUCUCCGUACACUUCUAACAAGUUACAGUAUUUCUCACCUAAUCUCUACCCGUGCAAUUUCUACCUAAGCACUCUUAGAUAUUGAGAACCCACUCACUUCCUACAAUCACACCUUGUGAUCUUAAACAACAAUCCUGAGAAAUAUGAACACACUAUUCAAUAACACACUCUUGAUUUACUUCACAGUUUCAAUCAAGAAGACACAUUCUUGAUCUUGCUUCACAACUUGAUCAAGAAGACACACACUCGCUUGUAAAGCUUCAGAGUGACAAAUUACAUACCACAAAUCAGUCAUCUUAAUCACAUUGGAUGACUUGAAUGGCUUACAAGUCUCACGACUAAACAAGACACAAACCCUAGCUUCUCUCUCAUAUUUCGCUCAGUAUUGGGUUGUGUAUUGCAAACAGGUUUUCUAAGUCCCUUUUUAUAGAAGCAUCCAGCUGGGCUUGGACAUCUUGAAAACCCUAAAUCUAUUUUCCAAUCAAAUCUUUUUAUAACAGUUGGUUAGAUCUCCUUGGAAAAUAAGUAAAUCUGGUUGUAAUCCAUGAUUGAAUGCGCCAGCUAAUCAGAUCUUCAAUCAUACAAAGAUUGCCAUUAAUUGUGCAAUCACAAAACACCAGACAUUCAUAUUGAAUGUUCUGUGUACAGGAUGUCAUGACAUCGGGUCUGACAUCCUGGAAAAAUCCUGCAUACUCCAAUAAUUCCUUUUAUCACUUCCAGCAGGUACAACCAUAUCAGAUGCCAUGACCUUGUGUAUGACAUCUGAAAUAAUCCUGCUUGAACAUGUCUUUCAUUUAAGUUCCAGCAGGUACAUCCAAUAUCAGAAGCCAUGGCAUUGUAUGUGGCAUUCUGAAACAAUCCUGCAUGAACAUGUUCUUGAACUUCAGCAGGUACAUAGGAUAUCUCAUGUUAAGACAUCACACAUAACAUCUUGUGAACAUUCUUUGUUUUACCAAAAUUGCUGCCAACACUUAGAAUCAACAGUUUGGUGACUUUAUCCUCCCCAAUAAUUCUUCAUUCAUCCCCAGCACGGUUGAUGAGUUGUUGCCUAAGAAGUAUAUCAUCCCCAACUGAGCUGAUGAUUUGUUCCCUUUACAAUUCAUCUUUCCUCAGAUGAGUUGUUCAUGUUUUUGCAUUCCCCGGUUUGUGACUUGGUGAAUGAACCCUGGAUUAUCUUAGAACCUUUAUUUGGUCCCCGAGAUCCCCAACGCAUUUAUUGGUGUGUUGCAUAGCCGUGAUAGUUUCUCCCAUGCGUGAGUCUGCAUAUCCAGUUGAUAUUUUGGUACCUUGGAAUGAGUUUAUUUCUCAAUUUACAAGAAGAGUCUGAUGACUAUUUGCUUUCUUUCUGAGGAAGUUUUUGUUGAUCUGUGUAUCCUCCUGUGGCCUUUGAUUUUUCCUGGAAGAUCGUUGUAUCCCCAAUGAAGCCCCACAGAGAUAUUUUUGGGAUGGAAUCCCCAAUAGAGCGCCUGGUUCUCCUCACUCAGAGUUUUACCUCUUGUUGUAACUUGAGACCCCAGCGGACUUCCAUUUUAUAAUAGAAGCUCUUCCCCCAUUAGUGUUUGGUUCUGAGCACUAUUGAUGAUGUCCCCUGCAAGGUUGUCUCCCAAUUGAUAUGGUGUUGACUUAAAAUUCCCCACAACAUUGACUUGUCAAGAUCCUCAGCAGAUCCCUCUUUAUCCUCGGUAUUUAGGGUUGGAUGCAUGUUCUUCAUGCCUUUCCCCAGCCAGGGUUGAAUUCAUCUUGCAGUUAGGAUUUUAUAUCCUUGAUGACUUAUUUUCAUCCCUAGCAGGUUCUCCAGUUGGUGUUCCCAUCUUAUCGAGAUUAAUCGAGCAUCUAGUUGUGAUGAUUCAAAGCUUCGUUAUUUGUAUCCUUUGUGCUCGUUUGUCAGCAUAAUCAUAUACAUACUCAUGCAUAUACAUGCAUAAAACACAACAUCAGAUAUUUCAUUGUGCAUUUUUAUCACAUUUGAUCUUUCUUUUGAUCCCCUGCUUUGGUGAUAUUAUUUCCCCAUGCAGAUUCAGUGUGUCUGUCCUCCUUCAAUUGUAGAGUGUCAGCCCCUUUAAGCAGAAAAAGUUUAUUUUUCCUCUUUCCCCACUGAGUUAUCACCUCGUGGGCGAUUAUUAUUUCAGUUUCCUCCCCACUUUAUUAUCUGGAUGGAACCAUUCCCCUUGACUUAUAUCCUCAUUGGGUUGAGUCUUGUUUGACCAUUUUUUUCUUUCUAUUUCUUAUCUAGAUAGAUCUUUUGGUCCUCGAGAGUUUAUUAUCCAGUAAUUGGUAAUAUUCUUAUUGAUGUUGAGUAUUUUACCUGUGUUAAUUUACCCAAUAACUGGUAAAAGGUAAAUUACUUCUUUGACUUUUCUCCAGCGAUUUCGUUUUUUGUCUCCCCGACAAGCCUAUCCUUUAUAUGUUCAUCUUAAUCGAUGACAGAUAUUCUUAUUCUUUGGUAUUCUACCCAGUAGAAAGGUAUUUGUAAUUCCUACUUUCUCCAGAAGAGCUAUCCUUGAUAUGUUCAUCUUAACCGGUGACACAUUGUCUCUUUCUUCGAUAUUCUACCCAGUAACUAGUAGUUGUGAUUCCUAUUUGUGGUAUUUUGCCCAAUAAAUGGUAGAUAUAAAUCCUAUUCUACCUUCUGAGUGUAUCCUUGAUAUGUUCACUUUAACCGGUGACAGAUUUUCUCUUUCUUCGAUCUUCUAUCCCCACAGAUAGUUGUAAAUCCUAUUUUUCGCAGCAGUUUAUCCUUGAUACAUUCACUUUAAUCAGUGAUGGAUAUUCUUCCCUUUGAGUUUAUCCUUGAUAUGUUCACUUUAAUCAGUGAUGGAUAUUCUUCCCUUUGAGUUUAUCCUUGAUAUGUUCACUUUAACCGGUGACAGAUACUCUCUCUUUGGUCUUCUGCCCAGUAACAGGUAGUUGUAAAUCCUAUUUGGCUUUUUUUCCCCAGUAGGUUAUUCUUACCCAGUAACCGGUAAUGAAUAUGCCUCAUUUUUCUCAGCGAGUCAUCCUUGAUAUGUUUACCCUAACUGGUAACAAAUGUCUCUAUGUCCUAAUAGGUAGUAGAUAAUAUAUCUCUUUUACUUCUAUGUUGAAGUUCUUCUUCCCCAGUUGAGUUUGGUUUCGUAUUUCUUUGAUAAAUUGAAUUCCCUUUUGCGUUUGAAUAUUUCAGCUUUGUUCUGAUUUAUGCAUUUCCCCAGCGGGUGUUUCUUACUGUAUUGGUGUUAUCCCGAUACAUGCAGAUUUCUUUUUUUUCCCCAACCGAGUAUUUCCAUUGAUUUAUUUUCAUGGAAAAUCCCCUCGUGUCUCCAGCGGUUUUUAAGAUGUAGCAUGGCCUACAUAUAGCUUUUAUCCCCAGAUUCUCUAUCUCCCUAGUGAGUUUUCCUUAUGGAAUGCAUUGUGCUCUUGUGGACUUUUAGUCUCUCCAGAUUCUUUUCCUUCGUGGAAAUAUAUAUUCUCCGCAAAGAUUAUUUUUGCAUACAUAUCAUAUGCAUCAUGAGGUCUCUUAGGGACCAAAAUUUGUUUCUUGAUGUUGUUAUUUAAGUCCAUUAUGUUGAGUUAAUACGAGGAUUUUAACCUUCACAUCCUCAACUAGAAUGUCCUUAAAUAUGGGCAACUGUAAGACCCCAAUUUUGACCCUAAGAUCCCUCAUGUUAUCUCAUCAUUUUCACCGGCUUUGGGAUCACACCUUGGCAUCCUCCUUAUCCCUCAUACAUUGGGUUUGCAUUGGGAGAGAUCACAAAACACUUUUGAUUGUAUCAUACUUUGUUUUUAUUUGUUUACUAACCAAAAUACCAAAAAAUAUGUGUAUGUGUAGCUUUAUUUCUUUUGUAGGUAGUGUGUGUGUCCACUUGUGCCUCAUCAAGCUCACAACUAGGGUUUGAGAUCCUCAAUGUAAGAGAUAAAUCAAGGAAAGGUCCAAAAUGGUUCUAGUUAUCAUAUAUGGAUCCCCAUGUUCUUCAUUUAUCAUUUUGAUCAAGAAAUUAUCAAGAGUUUGAAGCUUGUUUGCCUUGGAAGCCCUAAUUCAUCUGGGUAUCUUGUAUGACUUCCUCAGUAAGUUUCUUCAUCAUUUGGUCAAAGAUAUCAAGGGAUACUAAGUUAUACAUCAUCUAAAGCAUAUAUGAUCCUCCAUGAGCCCCAAAGAUCAAAGUAACUUCAAGUUUUCAAGUUUGUUCAAGGAGGUUGACCAGAGAAAGUCAACUAGUCAAAUCUAGGGUUCCCUAGACCUUAUCUCCUACAAUUUUUGUCAUAUGAAAAUGAUUCCAAUAUAAAAGUUACUCUUUAUGAAAUUCCAAACAACUUUCAAGUUGAUAUCAAAAGGUAAUUUUUCUUGGAAAGUCAUUUUUUAUGGUGAAAGAUUAUAGGCCAUUUUGUUUGUGCCCUAAUUAGGAGGUCAACUUCCAAGGACCAUAACUUGCUCAAGUUUUAUGAUAUGAAAGACAUACAAGUUUCAUAAUCAAUUUAAAUAUGUCUUCUCCAAAUUUUAUUCUUUGAGAAAUGUCAAAUUCUACUUGCAAAGGCAUGUGCCAAGGGGAAACAUUAUAGGUCAUUUUGGGCCAUUACCAUUGAACAAGCAAUUUUCCUCAACUUCUAAAAUCCAUAACUCCCUCAUGACAUAUCCAAAUGGUGUCAAAUUUGUGACCAAAUUUAAUAGGAAUUAAAUAGAUACAACUUUGGUGAAGGAGACAUUUUCAUUUGAAGCUCAUAGCAAAAGUCAUUCAUUGUGGAAGAAGUGGUCAUUUGACUUUUAACUUAGAAAAUUUUCAAUUAUGUUUGAUUUCUCCAACUUCCACCUUAAAAUUCACCUUGGUCCAGGUACCAAAUGAAAAAUUCUACAACAUCAAAGUUGUUCCCCUUCAUGUCACCUUUCUAAAGAGUCUAAGAUCACUUCAUUUGGACAAGAAUUAAGGGACUUGCGAAUGGGUUCUUCUCAUGGCUUGUUUUGGCAACUUUUGAAUUCAAUUUCCAAUUAACUUUGCAUGGCUCCAUGUUAUGACAUCAGUAGCAUUUGUGAAUGCAUUUGGACUCACUGCCAUCAUUAUUUUGGGCCCAAAGCAUGCCCAUGCCCCCAUGCACAUAAGUUGCUAUUUUUGGUUCAAAUUUUGGAAGGUGUGGAAAUCACAUUGCAAUGCCUAUAUAAUGAACUCAUUGGCCUCAGAUUGAAGGGGACCUUUUGCCCAAGCCUUGCCAAGAAAUCUCAGAACCUCAUUCCAUAAAAUACCUUGAGGAUUUCAUUGAAAUCGAGCUUCUAGUUCAAUUUUUUUGUGAACUAGAACUCCAAGGAUUCAUAGCCAUUUUCAUCUCAAUCAUCUAAUGCAAGCAAGAGGAGGAAGAACCAAGUGGAAUUGCAUCGAGAUCAAUCCAAAUCACUGCAACCCGAAGGUGAUUUUUCCAUAUUUUCAAGCCUUCGAUUCUCUCCCAUUUCUCUAUAAUUCUACUUGUUUAUUGGUUAUCUGAAGUUCUACCAAUGUAGGCAACAAGAUUGAGUUGCUUUGAGGUCAAAUCGAAGCAACUCAAAUCGUGUACCUCAAAAUUUAAUUCCUUGUAUCUUUCAAUAUACUUAGAAUUAGGAGAAAUUGAGGUUAGAUUCGAGCUCCUGAGCAUUUUUUUCUUUAAAAUAGUGUAUGCACUUUUUAUUUUGGUGAACUUUUGUGGUAGACCAGUCCGAUGAGGUCCACCGGAGAAGAUGACCGGAGUUAGGGCUCCGGUGGUGAGUUGACUUCCUCUCAUCCAUCUGAUCUUGGUCCAAGGAUCAAAUAUGAGCCAUCAUUUCUAAUUACCAUGCGCGUUGACUAAAGACUAUGGAGGAUAGCGCGCGUGGCCAUCAAAUUUGCCACCUCAACUAAUGAGGGAGAUAUGAUGACCCUUGUUUUUUUGAAUUUCUUUUUAAUUUCUGAUUUUAUGUUUAAUCCUUUUUUUUGUUUAGUUCAUAUUAAUUUCAUUUUUAAUCCAAAAAAUAUGGGACUUUCACCAAAAAUCUUUAAAUAUUUUCCUCUUCUAUAGUUUGAAUUAAAAUCAUUUUUUUGGAUUAAUUUUGAUAUUUUUCAUGAAUUAAAUAAUUUUUAACUUGUUUUUAGAUAUUUUAAAAUACUUCUGACUUUCCAAAAAUUGUGAAUUUUUUUGUCUAAGGUCCUUUGACCUUGUUUGACCUAGGAUAAAUCCCUUGGCCAUUUAUUUGGUGUUUUAAAGGGAUUUUAGGUUUUGUACAUUUAAAAAUGAAUUUUAAUUCAUUUUUAAUUCUAAUUUUAUUUGAAUAAUUGUUUAAAAAUUAUGUUGAGCUAUUUAAUUGGUCUUGUGAUGUUUGACUUUCUGUUUGACCUUGAUCAUGGUUGAUUUGACUUUUGUUUGACCAAUACUAUUGAAUUUAGGAGAUUGAUGAAAUGUACAUUUCAUCUUCGAAUAUGAAUGGAUAAUAUUGAUCAAAUGAAAUUCCUCAUAUGAUCAAUUUGGUUUCUAUUUCCCCUCCCCUCUUCAUCUUCAUCCCUAUUCUUCCCCAAUCCAUCAUUGACCAAUGAAUUCUCUUCAUGUCAAAUACUAGUUGAUUCAUUAUGACCUCGUGUCAGGUGAAUCAACAUGAGCCUGACUGAGAUAGGUCCCUCCCAUUUUUUUAGUGUGUGAUAUGUUUUAGGAGUUUGGUUCUUUGUACCAAAUCUCUAACAUGCAUUAACACCUAUAUUUUUAUUGCUCGAUCUCAGAUAGUUGUGACUUCUACAUAAGUCCAAUUAUAAUUGCUUAACAUAGAGCUGAAAUUGACCAAAAAGGCAUAGCAUUCUUGUAAGUGAGAUUGUAAGUCUCCUACUCUUCAUGGCAUUGUGUGGAAACUUGACCUUUUUUUCUUUCAUGAGAGCUAGUGACAUACUUGUUGAUUUAUCCAAGUUGGAACCCUUCUCAUGGAUGAUGUCUUGGUUCAAGAAUUCAUACUUGUGAAUGAAUGGUUGGGUGUUCUCCAAGAAUGACUUAACUAAUUGAAACUCUUCACUAACAUUUGACUAACACUUUAUUAAUGUUGAUUUAAUUUCAAGUCAUUUGCUUAAUGCACUUUAAAUUUCAGUACCUUUAUGAUUCAUCUGCCAUUUACAUUUCAUGCAACUUGUUUAUGUUUUAGUCCUUUUCACUUUGCUCAUUUGAGCCAUAUCUUGUGAUUGUAUAUAUUGUUUGUUGGUUUUGUUUUUGCUUGUGGUCUUAGGACCUUAAGACACCUAAUAACAACAAAAACCCUAAAAAAUAUGUUGGUGGACUGUUGAACUUGAUCUGAACUUUUGGACUUUGGAUAAGCAACUUCCCUAUGCUUUGAGGACUUGGCCAAUGCCACUAUCUGAGACUGAGUUAUCCUUGCCUGUGAUUUCCAUCUAUUGAAUACCUUGGUCUUUGAUUCAUCUGUCACUUUGUCUCUGUGCUUAAUUGUUAUGUUGAUAUUAUUGUUGAUGUCUGAUGAUUGUUCUGAGUUGAUCAAGGAAUAUUUUCAUUUGGUACAUUGGAAGAUAUUGAAGACUACUAGCUAUUGGAUUGCUUGCUUGGAUAUUAUGGAUAUCUUUAUUUGAUGCCUUGGUCUUCAUAUGGUUUUAUUGGAUAAUGCUUAUGUUGUUGCUUGCUAAAGUCCAAAGGAAAAUGGGUUUCUAUAUGACAUUCUUGUCUAUUGGAUUGCAUCCCAUUGGUCAGAUCUUUUCAAUCCUUAACUUUUAAUUUUUGUCUAGUGUAGUCUCUUCAUCUCCUCCCACUUCUUAAAUUUCAAAAUCUCUCCCCCUUUUCAAAACAUUCUUUGUUUGUGUUUUCAACUUAGACAUGUUUUAAUGAUUAGAAACUUUGGCCUUAUGCCAUUGGACUUUUCAAACUUUUUCUUAAUCAAACUUGUGAAUGAAUCUAACCAUAUUGACUUUAAUUUCAAAAAGACAAAAAGAACUAACAAACCCAUUCAAAUAUUUGGCUUUUUAUGCCUUUUCUUGUUAAACUUUUGAUUAAAACCAACUCACCAACUUCUUUGAAAUUUUUACCACGAACUACGAGGUUUUGAUCCCUCAUUUUUAUGUUGGUACGUAGGCAUAAGACCGAAGGUAUUGUCAAACACAAAAAUAUAAUUAAUGAAUUAUUUUCUCAUUCCCCCACUCUAUAUUUUAUCAAACAUCAUUUUAACCAAAUCACUUGCACACAAAAAAGGGCUCCCUAGAAGUACCUAGGACACUUUGGGUGAUAAUACUUUCCCUCUGUGUAACCAACCCCCUUACCUGUAAUCUCUGACAUUUUAUUAGUUUUGAUUUGAAAACUUCUUAUCUUUGGGUUUUGUUCGUACUUUUCCCAUUUCCUUUGGAAACAAAAAAAACGCGGUGACGACUCUGGUUUUAUUGGCGUCAAGUUUAUCCAUAGCUUAAUGGUCAUGAAUUUACCGCUACAAGACCCAAACAUGAAUUCUAACAGUGAAUUAUAUCAUCAUAAUCAUCAACACAUACAAUUGAAAUUCAAAUCAUGGCAUGUAAAAAAAUAGAAUUAUCAUUACUUUUCUUCAACCUGCAUCAUAAUUCAAAGGAAGAACAAACCCUAGAGGAAGUUAAGGGUCCCUCCACUCCACCUUUCACACAUAUACCUAUUAUUGAGAAUAAUCCCCCCUUACCUCAAUUCUUAGCAGAAAAUUAUGGUUUUGUUGAUACGUUCUUCCCUCAUAAUCCCCCUUUAUUUCUCUUUUCCCAAGUUUGUACGAUCUGACAAAAACUCUAACCUAGACUAUUUUAAACUUAAAUAGUUUGGUUUCCAUCUUUUUAUAAUUACAACUUAACCCCACUACUAAUUUCCUCUUACUCCUUGCUCCCUCCUAUUCCCUUAAAUUUCCAUUUUUGGCCCAAAGUCUCUAUUUUUCUCAAUUAAUUAAAUAAUCAAAUAAAUCAUUGUUAUCUUAAUUAUCUAAAAUGCCGCUAAAUUAUUAUAGGUUAAUCUUAUUGCCAUAGCCCCUUAAUUAUUCUCCCAUCUUAAGGACACACACCAUAUAAUUCUAUUUAUUUUAAUUAAAUAAAAUACUCAAGAAUUACACAAACAUACAGAGAUUUAUAAUAAUUUAAUUAAUUCAGACAAAAAUAAUAACCGGGGUGUUACAAAAAUCAUUGAAAAACCUAUUGCUAAGACUAUUUGCAAUUCCCUAUGUGCUACUUAUGAAGGAAAUCAACAAGUUCAUGAAGCUAAGGCUAACCUUCUGAUUCAGCAUUAUGAGAUGUUCAGAAUGAAGGAGGAUGAAGACUUUGAAACCAUGUUCUUUAGGUUUCAAGUUCUGAAUAAGAGCUACACUAUGUCUGAUCAUGUCAAGAAAAUUCUUAGUAAUCUUCCUUUCAGAUACAUACCUAAGUUGAUAGCCAUACAAGACGCCAAAGACUUGAACAUAUUAAGUCUUGAAUGUCUAGUCAAUAAUCUUCAAAGCCAUGAUAUGGAGCUCGAUGGAGAUGAACCUGUAAGAAAGUCAAAGACUGUAGCUCUUAAAUUUGUUGCCAAAGCUGCCAAGGAUCCUCAAGUCUAGGAGUUUGAAGAAACUUCUCAAGCAGAAGGUUCUAAAGAUGACUCAGAUGAUGAGGAAAUGGCCUUCAUCAUUAGAAGAUUUCAACAUCUAGCCAAGAAGAACAAUAGAUUCUCUGGCAGAAGUAGUGGCUUUAGAGAAUCUGGAUCCAGUGAAAAAAGGACAAGCCAAAUAAGGGAAGCUUUUAGAAGCAUAUCUUCAAUAACAGAUUCAAGAAAAGUCUCAUGGCAAAAAGGGAUGAACUUGAAAAUGCUAAAGACUCUGAAAAUGAUGAAGAACAAGCCAACCUUGCAUUGAUGGCUCUUAAAUCUUCUGAAGCGCAAUUAGACUCAGAUUUUGGCUCAGAGUCUGUGGAAGAGGAUGAGGUAUUUUCUAAACUAUCUUGUUAUGAUUUAAUUUCUUUUAUUUCUUUUAUUCAAAAGCUUGUGGUAAGAUGUCAAGAGAAAGCCGGACACAUGAAAAAUACUUAAAAAGCAAUAUGAUCUUUUGAAAAAUGAGCUAAAGUCUGUUCAAAACCAAAAUGAAGCUCCAGAGAAAGAUCAUAUUGCUCUAGUUAAGAAAGUGUAUGACAAACCUCUUAAUGAGCAUGAAAUGGAUCUUCAAGAAUUUCUCAUAAAUGGCUUCAAUAGAACUAAACAUGCUUCCAUGAUUUAUAGAGUAAGUAGAAGUAAUGAGGAAGGUCUGGGUUACUUAUAAAAAAAGUUAAUCCAAUGUUUGAGACCUUGAGUAAACCAACAAGCCCUUCCUCCUAAAGCUCUACUUAGAAAGGGCUUGAAUCUUAUUUUGUACCUGUUGUUGAAAAUGCAAAGGUUUUGAUUCAGUUAGAAUCUAAAGCUGUUGAGUCAAGGGCUCUAAAGAAACCAGGGCCUAAGAAUCUAAAUUCAAAGGUUCUAAGGAAGCCAAAACCUAAGAUAUCAAAAACUAAGGUUCUGAAAGACUCAAAAUUUAAGGUUAAGAUUCAUUUAAGACAAUAAACUUUUAAAUCAAAUGUCUUGAGUAAUCCUAAACCUCAUCAAAUGAAAGCAAAGGUAUAAAACAAAAGGAAGCUUGUCAGAACUAACCAUAAAUGACCCAUAAGAUUACAGGUACCUAAAUUUCGAAUUGUCUUUGCUGCAGAUAUGUUUCAAGGGAGAAGCAAAGAAGCAACCACGGUACCUGGACAAUGGUUGAUCACAACGUAUGACAGGAGAAAAAGAGAGGAACGAAUCCCCUUUGAAAGAGGGAUGAACUGUGGGAUUUAGAGGAAACCAGAAAAGAAAGAUCAUUUGUAUGGGUAUUAUUGGUAACUCCUCUAUUUCAAUUAAUAAUGGGCGAAAAGGAUCCGCUUUAAGGAUCCAUGGAGUAUAAUCGUCUUAAUGGGCGACAAUGAUUCCUAUUGAGGAUCCAAUGAAUAUGAUCACCCUAGUAGGCGCCAAGGAUACCACUUGAAGAUCCAUGAAAUAUAAUAUCCUCAAUGGGCAACAAGGAUCCCACUUAAGGAUUCAACGAAUAUGAUUUCCUCCAUGGGUGAAAAGGAUCCCUUUUAAGAAUCAUGUGAAUAUGAUCGCCUCGAUGGGAGGAAAAGAUCACUCUUGAGGAUCCAGUGAACAUGAUCACCUUAAUGUGCGACAAUGAUCCCACUUGAGGAUCCAGUGAAUAUUAUCGCCUCCAGGGGAGACAAUGAUCCCAUUGAGGAUCCGAUGAAUAUGAUCGCCUCAAUUGGCGGCCUUCUCUUGAAUAUUUAAGUUUCCUGCAAAGAAGGGAAUAUCCAAACAUACAAAAUCUAAAAUAAUAAGAGCGAGGUGUUUCAUUAAAAACUCUUUGCCUAUGUAACAUUGUAGAGGGAAAAGAGUGCACCCUAAGAAUUAACUUGUUCUUUACAAUUGGUAGAGAUGCAAUACCCGCCUAUGAAAAUUAAUAAAGUAAUUCAAUAAUAAUAAUAAUAAUAAUAAUAAUAAUAAUAAUAAUAAUAAUAAUAAUAAUAAUAAUAAUAAUAAUAAAAUAAAAAUGAACGGUUGUCAUGCCGAUGUCUUCAGAGGAGAUCCCUUAUGGGCAUUCAGCCUUUGAUCUCUUUAAUGUUUAGAGAGAAAGUCUCAUUUCCUUUGUGGAAUUCCUCUGGUGGAUUUAUUCUUGAACUCAUCCACAUUGCCUUCCCGCCCAUAGGGAGGAUCCUGUUCAACUUGAGGCUUUUAGGCAUAACACUUCCUGGAGAUCUCUUGACCUCUUUGUAUAACUUCCACUCGCCCAUUGGGGAGAGUAAUUUUCAUGCAUAAAUAGAGAGUGGACAAGGCGUCCCCCAACCGGUUAAAGGUUGAUGCCAUAUAAUCAUAUUAUAUGAAGAAGGGACAUCAAUAACCAGAUACCUAAGCUUUACCUCUUUAUCCUGACUUUCUUCUCCAAAGCUAAUCCUCAUGGUGAUAUAUCCUUUUACUUGUAUGUGUUCUCCAAAGAAUCCAACCAACGAUCCUCUGAAGGGCUUUAUAUCUUUUAGGUCAAGGAAAAGUCUUUCAAAUUUUUGCUAGUAUAGUACGUUUGCAGAAAUCCCCUGGUUAAUGAGAACUCUUUUAAUUUCCCAGUCUCCGUACUUGAAGAUAAUGACUAGGGGUGUACACGGGUUGGGUUGGAGCGCGUUUGGCCUAACCUGUUAAGCAACCCAUUCAAACUUCAAUGGAUUGGGUUUUUCGUCGAACGCAAAAUUUUAUUGUCAAAAUCGACCUGAACCGACCCGUUCAUUUAUGGGUUGGGUUGGGUUCACGGGUUGUGUUUCAAAUAAAAAAUAUUUUUAUAUGGUUCUUUUGGUCAGCUUAAAAAAAAUGUAACACAAUUCAAUAAAAUCAUACUCAUUUAUAACACUCAAAUUCGAUGAAACACAUAAUAUAAUAUCUAAUAAAAUUCAACCAAACACGUUAUUUCUAUUAAAUAGAUAAGUAGGAAAUGAUACAAAAGAAAAUCAAAAAAAUUUAAUCUUAAAAUUACGUAAACUCAUUGGUCUAGUAGUAUUAUUGGUGGAGGAUAAAACUUUUUUGAAAAAAUUAUGGUUAUUAGUGAAAUAUAAAUUUUAUAUCUUUAGUUAAAAUGAUAAUAAAAAUAAUAAAAGAUACUAAAAUCACAUCAAUGGGUUGAGUCAACGGGUCCGUGAGUUACAAAACUCAAACUCGAUACCCGAACCAAAACUAUACCCGUAACUAGAUGGGUUGAGUCAACGGGUCCGUGAGUUGUUAUGGGUUGGGUUGGGUAUACCCGUAAAUGAAUGGGUUCGUCGGUCGACCCGUACCCAUAAACACCCCUAGUAAUGACCAUAUGGUCUUCAUAAUAUGGAUGCAUGCCAUCUGCAUCUUUCUCUGAGAAGGUGGUCGUGGAUUCUAGCGUUUGGUGCUCGCCUUAGGUAUUGACCUCAGGGAUGUUUUCUACACUCAGGAUCUGACGAGCGAACCUUCUUCGGGCAGAGCUAAUAUCCCCUCCCCUGAUAAAUCCUCCUGGUAUGGUAUUGAGUGUAUGACACACAACUUUACUACCUUCUCCAUGAGGUGCCUCUUUGGUGUUGUUGGGUUAGAGGCUUCCAGUGUCGUCUCGUCCUCGUAAAUUAGGCUUGUCUGACCAACGAGAGGAGUCUCCCUUCAUAUAUUUCUUGAGGUGUUCCUCUUGUAUUAAUAUCUCGAUUUAUUUUUUGGGAUGAAAAUAAUCUUUAGUGUGGUGUCACUUGACUCUGUGGAACUUGCACCAUCUUACUGGUUCAGAACCCAUGACCUCUGCCUUAGGUGUAGGAGGUGUUGGGAUAAUAUGCAAGUGGAGAACUUCAGGCUAUAUCUUCUCAGGACAAGUAUUCAAAGGCACGAUGUUAUCUAUCACAUUACCUACCCUUUUGAAUGCAACCUUAUCCUUUGUGGGCGAGGUAUAAUUGCUCUUCCUCUGGUGAUGUGAGCCUUCAGAGUUGGGAACACGAUUUUUGACACCAUGCAUCUUCUUUUCAGUGUUGCUCUCCUUGCCCUUUAUGUAGCAUUCUGCUCGGGUAACCACUUCUUCCAAUGAAAGAGUUGGCUUAUGGGCGAGGGAUUCAUUUAAGUGUCCUGCUUUGAGUCUAUUCUGGAACACCCCCAUAAAAAUUUCUUGGUUCGGUGGGACGACUGCAUGGUGGCCUCGUAAAACGGCAAAGGUAGUCACUCAGUGACUCUGAUGGACUCUGGCGUAUAUUAAUAAGAAUGUGGUGGACACCUUCUUGUGGAGACUAACAGAGAACUGGUGUAAUAGCUUUUGAUGGAGGUACAUGGUAAACCCAUAUACCAUCGACAAGAAACGUCCAUAAAGGUUAUAGAUAAUAGCUUGCAUUUUAGGGAGUCCAGUGCUCCUAUGAUGGCCAUCUUCGUAUUGAUGGAGGUAAUAUUUUCGUAGGGGUCAAUGCGCCCCUCGAACUUGGCUAAGGAAUGAAAUUUGAAUCCUUCAGGGAUAUGAACCUCUAUAUUUUUUCUAGGAAUGAAUGGGGGUCCAACAAUUCCAUCGCAUAUAGUAGACUGAAAUCCUGUUGGUGUUGUCUGAUGUUGUGGACAUUGUCCUCGAGUGUCUGGUUAUGGAAGCGUAAUUUUCCCAUGGUUGCAUGCAUCCCCACCAGGGCGUCAACAUCACUGUUGUCACUAGUACCUUCUGGCAUAGAGUAUGGAGCUCUCCUAUUAACUAUGGUUGGAAGGGGCUAAGUAUAGGAGUGAAGGAUAACAACGAGAAAGGUGAUGGUGAUGAUGAGGGUGUGACCUAUGUUAGUUUUAUCCGAGCCCUACGGUGGGUUCCACUGUACUAGUCAAAAAGUACAUGUGUGUGUGUUCCUCCUGCAAUGGCAGGGGGACUCAUAGGCCUUAGUAGGUAUAUUAUGUUUUAUGGUGGUUAGAGCUUGCCCACAACGGCAAGAAGCCCUUUAUGAUGGUGUUUUACGGUGGUUUAGGAGUCGUGGUUAUGUGAGGUGAGAGGCUCUGUAGAUGGAUUAUGUGCUUAGGUAUUCUAAGAUAUGUGAUCAUAUGAGUUAUGAUCUUGCUAAACGCAAUGCAUUAGGGUGUAUUGAUUUGUCUUCUUCCCUUUAUGGGGAGAAAUAUUUAGAGAUCCUUUGGGUCUAGGGUUUGGGUAACCCCGAGUCGCGACAACCACUCCCCUAUAAUCAAGAGAAUUUAUGGAUCAUGUAUCCUUCAGGAGUUGGUGGAGGACUCCCGCUCCUUUGAGAAACGUCCUUACACGUCAUUAGUACUCCCGGACGAGUCUUUGAGAUAUCGCCUGGGUGAUAUAACCAUUGGGCGAUGGUGCCCUAGUUUAGGACCUUGACAAAUAUAACAUUACACCAUUAGUCACAAAUCAAUUAUCAAAGUAUGAAUUCUACAAAUACCUCUUUAAGCUUACUUUAGCUUUGUCACAAAAACGAAAAUUACAAGUGUCUGUACAUAGUCCACACGAGGACAAAAUAGAAUAUGGUGCUAGCCAUUUUCUGAUAAAAUAUGCCAAUUAGGAUAUGUAAAGAAAUGAACCCAUAUUCUAUUUAUAAAGAGUAAGCCACGAGAACCCUAAUACUCUUUGUACUUGAAAAAGUACAAUAUCUUUGACCCCAUUUGUGUAGCAUAAACAAAACCUCAAUAUGUUUGAAUAUGUGAAUAAGUUAUACAUUGCUUUGACAACUGACAUGCCUACUUAUAAUCGCCUCCAUUAACUUUAUCCAUAAAGCAUAUGUUAAGUAACUAUUGCAUUUCAAUUUCCUAUUCCUUACUUGUCUAUGAGUUGAUCAUGCCAUAUAUAUUCAUUUCUGUUAGUUUGAUGGCAGUUUAUAUCUGUUACGACGGUUACAUCUUCAUGGAAUCAUUAUCAUGUUCGUUUGUCUAGGAUCUGACCGUAUAAUACUAGAUAAGUCGUUAUGUGACUUGUGGUUGAGUCACCUCCCUAUCCCUAAAGUUAGGUCGCUCACCUAGUUUAGUGACAUCACUCUCUCAUUGUAUCAUGACGAGCUAAUUAAUAAAACUCUAGGUCAGAUUCACCUCACAUGUGCCAACUCAAGCACUCUAUGAAUGUUCAAUAUGCUUUAGAGUGAAUGGGUUGAGUUAAUUGAAGGAUGGUUUAGACCAUUACUGAUAUAUCAAUACAAAGUCUCUCAAAAUGAGGCUUGUAAAGGGUGAAGUCAUUUAAGCAAUAUUUGAUACCUCACAAUCUCUCAAGCAUGAGACAUGUAAGUGAGAAGUGAUUUAGGCAAUAUUUGAUAGUUCAUAGUCCUUCAAGGAUGAUGCAGGUAAGGGAGAAGUAGUUUAAGCAAUAUUUGAUAGUUUACUGUCCCUCAAACACUAUUAAGAACAACCUAAAGGCAACAUAAUUUAGUUAGGCAAGCUAUCAAAACUGCUAAUGUCAUACUAUCAAGGACAUUAUGAAUUUAAUUAUUUAAUUCAAGUGAAAUUGUUCAAUUUCAUAAAUGAGAAGUACUUGACUUUUAAGGUUGUGAUUAUUAAUUCGUUUGUUAUGGGAAUGCCCGUUUGUUUUAGGCCACCCAUUAAAUUGCAAGCAUAUAAGUGGAACCGUAUAUAUAUUAGACUAGAUAAACAUGUUCAUUUGCAUAUAAAUAUAUGAACAUUUGCAUCUUCUUAUCAUUAUACUCUUUUGCAAAUAUUGUCUUGUUGUUUCGUUUUCCACAACUAAGUUCUAAUCAACCAUUCAUAGAGCCUAACUACAAUUUAUUAGAGAUUGUGACGCGGGUGGUAAUGUAGUUGAACUCGAUACUCACAAAGAAAAAUUGGAGUUAUGGCGUCAUUGUAUUGAAAGUUCUAGGCAUAUAGGUGGUAAAGUGAAUUGAAGAUUCAUCGAGACGAAGAUGUUUGAGAUUUAAAAUAAUAGUUUUGAUAGCGAUCAAAGUAAGAGUAGUGAAAUUGUUGUUACAACCUUUGAAUUUUUGGUGUUGCUGCAAAACUAAGAACAAAUGGAGUUGAAACAGAGAAAUUAAUUUUCACGAUAAACUUCCAAAGCGUGUAGUUUUACACUAAGCUUAAGGAACAAUUCACCCCCACCAAUCUUUCUAUGUUGGAUGCAAAAGGAGUUACCGGUGAAUUUCCUGCAGGAUACUUUGGAAUCCUUAAAGAGAAUUGCACAAUCUCUCUAAGCGUAUCUGUUGAUAAUAUUUUACAGAAGAAUGUUUCUUUCAAUUGCUCUCAUGCAUUAGAGAAGAGAAAAAGGUGAUUAGAAGGGGGGGGGGGGGGGGGGGGGGGGGGGGGGGGGGGGUGAAAUUAAUUGAGAUUGGUUUUUUUUUGUAGUUUCCCACCGUGACAUAACCUGUAAUUUAUUAUUGAAAAUCACGCUAUUAUGAAACCAAAUAGCAACUCUUAGAAAAGGCAUCAUUAUUCCAAUUGCAACUUAGUAACAACGUUUCGCAUUAAGGAAUAGCAAAUAUUUGUUUAUACUUGCAACUACUCCUAAAAGAAAGGAAACCAAUUAAAGGACACUUUAGACCAAUUAAUAAUUACUAUAGAACAUCAAUUGAAAAUAUGGAAAUCUUUGAUAUAAUAUUUUAUAUUAUAUAUUAAUUCAAAUAAUUAAUGCAUUACAAUUAAUUAUUAUUUUGGAAAUUUUCUACAAUCCCCACCAUUUUCGAAAAACUAAAUCUUCAUAAUUUUGGAAAAAAAUCAUGCGUUCAGAUAUUGGGUAAUCUUCACGAGUUUGAACCAAAUACUUAGUAAUAUAUGGUUUCACUCAUCCCGAAUAGACAUUGGAACAAGCUUGUAACCCAACUACUCAUUAGAACAAGUGUGCAACAACUUACACAUUGAAAAAAUUCUCGAUACUAUUCAAAAGAAUUGUAAAAUAUGACACAUUGAUAAGAGCCCUAUGUCAUUAUCCUUUCAGAGAAUUUAAGAUCAAGCCCUGAACUCUAUGAAGCAAGCCUACUUCAUUUCUCAUAUAGUAGACUAAGCAGAAGUCCCAUAAAAAGCAUUCCAGCAAACAUAUGCAUAUAUCUAUUAGAGAAAAUCUCAUCCUAUCCUUUUACUUUAUGUCUUGAGUACUUUUGCCCAUUUGGGAUGUUUAUAUUGUUAAGUACUUCAAUCACAUCUAAUAAUAUACUUCAUCAUUAACUCAAUACUUGAUUUAAUCAGUGUGAGUGAGCCACUAUUGUGAUCAAAAAUAUGGGCUUAAAACCCAUCCCCCAAUGAUGUCUUCAACACCAUUCUUUGUCAACCUUUCGUCAAAGAUCGCAAGAUUAUUUAUUAGUUCUUACGUCAUUUAUAGGAGAUUACUCCAUUUGAAAUUUAAAUCUAUUACAUAGCUAUGUCUUAUACCAGAGAGUCUAAUUUCCAUAUAUACUUGGCUAUAUGCUUUAGAUAGUGGAUUGACUAUUCACAAUUAGAUACAGUGCUAUUGGCUUUGGCCAAAUAGGUAUCUCAUACAACAAGUUUCUUAGCCAUUCAGUCUCUUUACUACCUGCAGCCAGAGCAAUAAAUUCUGCAGCCAUGGUGGAGUCGGCAAUGCAAGUCUAUUUCUUUGAACCCCAAGAAACCGCACCUCCACCAAGAUUGAAGAUUCAUCCACUAGUGGAUGCAUGAUCUUCUAUAUAUGUUACCCAACUGGAAUCUGUAUACCCCUCUAAAACCUAAGGAUAUCCACUAUAUGUUAAAGUGUAGUUAAUCGUCCCUUUCAAGUAUUUUAAUACUCUAUUAAUAGCAUGCCAAUGAUCUUUACUUGGAUUACUUGUAUACCGACUUAUCCUACCAACAACAUAUGCUAUAUCAGGUCUAGUACAUGUCAUAUCAUACAUCAAGCAUCAAAUUACCUUUGAAUAUUCAAGUUGUGCCACUAGACACCCUUUAUGUGGUUGCAAAUUAACAUUUUGAUCAAAUGGGGUAGAAACGGAUUUGCAAUCCAAAUGAUCAAAUUUCUUAAGCACCUUUUCAAUAUAGUGAGAUUGGGAUAAGCCAAUAUGUUCACCAUCUCUUAUGAUUUUAAUCCCUAAAAUCACAUCUGUUUCACCUAAGUCUUUCAUAUCAAAAAUUUUGGAUAAGAAAGCUUUAGUCUUUUCUACCUCUUUUAAUUCAGUACCAAAGAUUAACAUAUCAUCCACAUAUAAACAAAUCAUAACUCCUUUUUCAUUGUUGAAUUUACUAUAAAUACAUUUGUCAGAUUCAUUUAUUUUGUAUCCAUUGGCCAACAUAACUUGGUCAAAUUUUUGAUGCCAUUGUUUGGGCGCUUGUUUUAACCCAUAUAAAGACUUAGUUAAUUUACACACUUUAUGUUCUUGGCCUUUGAUAACAAACCCUUCAGGUUGUUUCAUAUACACCUCUUCAUCCAAUUCUCCAUUUAGGAAAGCAGUUUUAACAUCNNNNNNNNNNNNNNNNNNNNNNNNNNNNNNNNNNNNNNNNNNNNNNNNNNNNNNNNNNNNNNNNNNNNNNNNNNNNNNNNNNNNNNNNNNNNNNNNNNNNNNNNNNNNNNNNNNNNNNNNNNNNNNNNNNNNNNNNNNNNNNNNNNNNNNNNNNNNNNNNNNNNNNNNNNNNNNNNNNNNNNNNNNNNNNNNNNNNNNNNNNNNNNNNNNNNNNNNNNNNNNNNNNNNNNNNNNNNNNNNNNNNNNNNNNNNNNNNNNNNNNNNNNNNNNNNNNNNNNNNNNNNNNNNNNNNNNNNNNNNNNNNNNNNNNNNNNNNNNNNNNNNNNNNNNNNNNNNNNNNNNNNNNNNNNNNNNNNNNNNNNNNNNNNNNNNNNNNNNNNNNNNNNNNNNNNNNNNNNNNNNNNNNNNNNNNNNNNNNNNNNNNNNNNNNNNNNNNNNNNNNNNNNNNNNNNNNNNNNNNNNNNNNNNNNNNNNNNNNNNNNNNNNNNNNNNNNNNNNNNNNNNNNNNNNNNNNNNNNNNNNNNNNNNNNNNNNNNNNNNNNNNNNNNNNNNNNNNNNNNNNNNNNNNNNNNNNNNNNNNNNNNNNNNNNNNNNNNNNNNNNNNNNNNNNNNNNNNNNNNNNNNNNNNNNNNNNNNNNNNNNNNNNNNNNNNNNNNNNNNNNNNNNNNNNNNNNNNNNNNNNNNNNNNNNNNNNNNNNNNNNNNNNNNNNNNNNNNNNNNNNNNNNNNNNNNNNNNNNNNNNNNNNNNNNNNNNNNNNNNNNNNNNNNNNNNNNNNNNNNNNNNNNNNNNNNNNNNNNNNNNNNNNNNNNNNNNNNNNNNNNNNNNNNNNNNNNNNNNNNNNNNNNNNNNNNNNNNNNNNNNNNNNNNNNNNNNNNNNNNNNNNNNNNNNNNNNNNNNNNNNNNNNNNNNNNNNNNNNNNNNNNNNNNNNNNNNNNNNNNNNNNNNNNNNNNNNNNNNNNNNNNNNNNNNNNNNNNNNNNNNNNNNNNNNNNNNNNNNNNNNNNNNNNNNNNNNNNNNNNNNNNNNNNNNNNNNNNNNNNNNNNNNNNNNNNNNNNNNNNNNNNNNNNNNNNNNNNNNNNNNNNNNNNNNNNNNNNNNNNNNNNNNNNNNNNNNNNNNNNNNNNNNNNNNNNNNNNNNNNNNNNNNNNNNNNNNNNNNNNNNNNNNNNNNNNNNNNNNNNNNNNNNNNNNNNNNNNNNNNNNNNNNNNNNNNNNNNNNNNNNNNNNNNNNNNNNNNNNNNNNNNNNNNNNNNNNNNNNNNNNNNNNNNNNNNNNNNNNNNNNNNNNNNNNNNNNNNNNNNNNNNNNNNNNNNNNNNNNNNNNNNNNNNNNNNNNNNNNNNNNNNNNNNNNNNNNNNNNNNNNNNNNNNNNNNNNNNNNNNNNNNNNNNNNNNNNNNNNNNNNNNNNNNNNNNNNNNNNNNNNNNNNNNNNNNNNNNNNNNNNNNNNNNNNNNNNNNNNNNNNNNNNNNNNNNNNNNNNNNNNNNNNNNNNNNNNNNNNNNNNNNNNNNNNNNNNNNNGUACAAGAAUUUAAAGUUAGGAUCAAAAUUAGGAAAUAAACUUGAUUUCAUCAUGUCUUUUAAUUACAAAAUAACAUGUCCUAGUCGCAUACUGCCAUAAAUCACAAGGACUCAACAGUAUUAACAGAAAUCACAUUAUUUAUUAAUUAUUAUUAACAAUAUUACCACGAUGAACAUAUCUCACAAGAAAUCUUCCACAAAACAUUCCCCCUUUGGAGAGAAUAAGAGUGUACUGCGGCGCGUCGAAAGUACGAGUAGUUGAACAUACUUAUUAAGUAAGGGAGGGUAAGGUUAAUCAAGUUUUGCGGCUGAGACUUCAGGAACAUAAAAUAUAUCUUAAGACGUGAGUGAUUUUUCCAGAUGUAAUUCAAUCCUCUAAAAAAAGCAUUCCUUUUCCUGUUGACUUGGACAGUAGAAAGCCCUUUCCCAUGUACAAAACACUUACCAUCUCUUCCAUUAAUGGUCUUGAAAUAGUUCUAUUUUUGCACACAUGACGGUAGCACCAGAGUCUAUCCACAAGAAUUAACAUUCUUCUAUCAUGUUGAUUUCAAGAAAAUACAGCAAACAAGAUUCUUUAUGCACUUGAAAUUCUCUUUGUUCUUUUUCUUUAAGAAACCUACACUCAUGUUUUUAAGUGUCCUGGGUUUCUACAAUGAUAACAAGUUCCUUUUCUUUUCUUUAGGUUGUUAUAACCUUUCGUGGUUUUCAUGAGAAUUUUUUGAAAUCUCGUUUUCUUUUAUUGGAAUGUUUGCUUUGAAUUUCCUUCCUCCAUCACAUGGACCUUCUCUUGGAUAAGUAUCAUCUGUCUUCGAUUACUCUUCUUCUAAACGGAAGGUGAUUACCCAUUGUUUCAAGAGAAAUAUCCUCUUCUUAUGCUUCAUGGUUCUUUAAAAUCUUUUCAGAGGAGGAAGUUUAUCUAUUGUGGAGGAUACAAUUAUAGUUUCAUCCAUGUGCCAUAUUAUGUUGUUUGUAAUUAUUGAGAAUACGUUCAAUUUCAUGCAUUUGUUCCUAACAGACCUACCAUCUAUCAUUUUAUAAUUAUUAAAUGAGAAAAACAAGAAACUUCUUACUUGUAGCGUCCUCUUGCAUGUAUCUUGAUUCCAAGUUCCCAUAAUCUUUUGGCGGAGUUACUGCUCUUGAUAAAAUGGCGAACAACGAAUCGCCACAUACCGUUGAGGAUGGUGUCCCAUUGCAUAUAUAAUCACUCAUUGUCCCACUUUUGGCUCUCUCUAGUUUCAGCAAUUGUUUCAUCUUCUUUUUCUUCCGGUUUUGGAAUGUUAAGGACAUACACCACCUUCAGUGUUGUGAGAAGAAAUUUCAUUUUUUUCUGCCAACGAAUAAAAUUCCCUCCAUCGAAUUUCUCUAAUUUCACAAAGUCAGAAGUCAUCUCUUUUAUAUUUAUAUUAUUAAUUCAAAUAAUAUAAUCAUACAAUUAAUUAUUAUUUUGGAAAUUUUCUCACAAUUGUUUAGGUAUCUUCUUUUUAAGAAUUAAAACAAAAGCAUGGCCGACUUUUGCAUUGAAGGUGGUAACAAUUAACUCGUUAUAUAACAAUGAUACUUUGGUACAAUCCAUAAUCUAGGGCUUAUACCUAUCAAAUUCCAGAUAUAAAGACGACAUCUUGCUUGAACCAUGCAUAAUAAAGGCAAGAAAUUCUGCAUGAUGCAUCCACAUGGUGUGAAAAACGAGUUAGGUGAAACAUGCAUUUGGACACAUUUACGAAACUUUUCCACUUCACAAAAAUGUAACAAAAACCAAUAGUCAAUAAUACAAUAAACCCGAAAACUUCAAACAUACUAAUAUUUCACCUACUUUUUAAGAGGUAUUUUUUAAAUAGUUAUUACUAUAUUUACAACACACUCCAUAAACCGUAACAUUCUUAUUUAAAAACCUGAAAAAUCGAUAACAAAACUCUGAAUUCUCCAACCAAAAAAACCAACACCAAGGAGAAUAAUCAGCUGAUGCGACGACACAGGGUAAUCCCAUCACCUACAGGGAGUUGACAAAUCUCGAUCCUUGAAUCUUGAGCUAGAUAUUUGUUGAGCUCAAUCACAUAGCCACGUAAACGCUUAACAUAGUCCAUCAUAGGCGCAUCUGGUGGAGCCGCUACUGAUCCACACCAUAAGGUGUUGUCGUACCCGAUUAAUCCCCCAAUUUUCACAAGAUCAAGUACUCUCUUGUGAUAGUUUAAGUAAUUAUCCUUAUCAGCAUCCACAAAAACAAAAUCAAA